GUCUCUGAAUCCUCAGGCCCUUCUGGUUCUUAUAUUCUAUGCAAUAUCACGUAAGUUAAAUCAUUAAAUGUUUAUUUUUGAUAUAAGUAUAUUCUUAGUGGAUCUGUUCAUGUGAUUAUAGAAAAGGUACCUAGACUGAUGUUAAAUAAAAUGUUACAUUUAUAUGGAUAUUAAUUCAUUUAAUUAAGAAUAUUGAGAUGUUUUAAUAAUAUAGAGUUGUUUUUGCAGUAUGAGAAAAAUAUAUUGAGAUAUAGAAAGUAACAGGGGAAUGUAAACUAAAACCAAGAGAGAGCAAAAACACGUAGAAGAGUUCCUAAGCAAAGGUCCUUACAAACUUGUGUGGUCUGUGGGUCGUUAAGUGGAUAACAAGACCUCCUGUGGCAUCUUUAGUGUAGGUUUCCGUGGGAUAUCCAGGAACUAUGACCACCUGUGCCUGAAAUAUAUUGGGGGUCAGUGCUUUGCGCCGGUCCCAUCCGUUUGGGCCCCGUUUGGGUCGGUGGAUGCAGGGCCAGAUUAACAUAGGGGCUGAUGGAGGUGCAGCCCCAGGCCCAUGGAAUAGGCCCAUUGAUUUAAAAAUAAAUAAAUAAAUAAUAAUAAUAAUAAAAAAAUAAAUAAAUAUUAUAUUAUUAUUCUUUUUUUUUUUUAACACUACUCCACAUACUUUUGCUUAAGUAUGGAAACUCAAGAGGGAUGUAUUAGAACAAAACUUGUGUGGACUGGCUGACAAUGAAAUUAGUUAAGGAAAUGCUGACUUUGGUCUCUCUAACACUGUGGCAUGUUCCCUUUCUUCUACCCUCACUACACAAACCUUUUCUCUGUCCCAGACUGUAUACCAGGAGCUUCUGCCUGCUAGUAAAAAGGUUAGGAGAGGAGUGGACCAGUGAGUGCUAGGGAACAGUUCUUAGAAAGCGUGGAGCGAGCGCUUCAUUAGACACAUUUAUGCUAAGCUCAGGGUGCCCCUUCCGGCAUUUCUAGUUACAUGAUUCGCGUCAGUGGCCCACCCUUUUACCCCACCCAUUGACGUCUUGCUUUACUGGACACUGCUGUUAGGGCGUAGGGAUUUACUUGAAAGAUGAAAACGAGAGAUAAGCAUAGGGUAUGUGUUUUCGGAUAGCUGCAUUCUAUGAGUUUCCCUCCAGCACCAUAUCCACCAGAUACAUGAAGCUUUGGAGGUAUGACUGUUUUAGUGUUUUUGGUCGAUAAGAUUCUGUAAUUAGGCCCAUCAUAACUGUCAGCACCAGGCCCACUGGACUCUUAAUCUGGCCCUGGGGAGAUGGCAAGUGUAGACGCUGGAGAAAGGUUGCCUGGUCUCCAGAGGAGGUUAAUGUAAAUAUGUCAUCUCCCUUAUGAACCACUAGUGAACCAUCUAUCCCCCACCUAUAUUUAAUUGCGGCUUCCCGCAGCUGUCUUGCAACAGGUGCUAGCUGCCAGCACGGUGAAUGGGAGGUUUCCGUAGAUAGCUACGGUGCAUUCCUUGGAGUGGAUAUUACCAAGCUCUCUAAAGUGGGACAUUAUGGCAGACUGAGCCGCGAUAUCUUUAGACACUGCAAUAAUGUCUCUAGGUGCAUCCGGGGGCAGAUGCGGCUUUGCGGAUACGGAAUGCCGAAGUGACAAUCUCAGGGUCUGCACCUCUCUUUGCACCCAUGGAGGUCAGUAGUCGCUGGAGGAAGGGUUCAUCUCCCGCAAUUCGCUCCGGCACCCUUCUAAGGCUGAUAUUCUUUCAUCUGUGCCGGGAUGCCAGCGCUGUGACAGUCCUGGUUAGUUUCUGGACUUGUUGAGUGAGGUCCUGGAUCCCGUCAUGGGUGGUCUGCAGCUUUUGUUCCCUGGCUUUGUCCCUGGAUUCCACCUUGGUCAGCCUUUGACACAGGGUCCCCAGCUCAGUUUGAGUUGCGUGCAGGUCUGCUUUCCACACCUGUCUCAUUUCCAGCAGAAGAUCUUUGAUAUCCUGUUUUGUCACUGGCAACAGGUCUUCAUCGAAGUCAGACUCAUUAUAGGUGCCAGGUGUCAGAGGAGAGACAGGAGCUUCCUCGUCAUCUCGGGAUGCUUUGGAUGGCAUCUUAGGGGAAACUUGCUGGGUAGGCCUGUCAAAUGAAAGCCUAAUAUCAGGCAGUUUUGAUGCUUCUGGUAUGCGGAGUAUUCUAUUUUAUCGUGUCGGCUGUGUGGGGGUGUUGAGGUGUGAGGUUUGUUGGAGUUUUUUAAUUACAGUUGUCUGCUGUUUUCCAGGUCCACACUGGAAAACAGCCUAAUCUUUCUAGUUGCUUAAUAAGCCAUGCCCCCCGCUCCCCCCUUUUCAUGUUUUUAAAAUAGGUUUUAAUAAAAAUAAUAAGGCUCUAUAAGCACUUUUCAGGUACUUCGAAAAACAAUCCACUGUAUUGUUAUGGAAUUUAUUUUGUACAUGUAUGCUUUGUGUAAUGAUAUUAUUUAGUGACACUGUAUUUUUGUUUAUGUUAUUGCUGUCACUUUGUUAAUUUAUUACUCCAACUGAGCAGGUCAUAUACCCUUCACUGAUCACAUGACCAAUAAAGAUUGUUUAAAGGAAGUUCUGUUCACUAGCACUGACUACAGAGGAGUGAACUAGCAUUGUAUUCUCUGUAUCCUCAGCUACUCAGUGAGGAUCAGAAUAAACAGUUUCCUUAGGUGAAACCUUUGCUCACCAGACUGAUGCUCCUUCAAUGAAGCACUCCUCCUUAGCUGGGUGAUUACCAAAAGUCUCUAACAAAUACAACUGGAGACAGCAAAUGCAGCUCCCACAAUCAGUAUUUCUGUAGGUGAGGAAAGGUGCACAAGACCAUUUUUCAAUGCAAAACAAUCGUAUGUUGUAGCAAUUACGUUUUUUUUUAAAUUUAUUUAUUUAAUAUUUUGUGUGGGUGAUACAAUACAACACAAGAAAUGUGGCAAAGCAAUGUUAUGAAAUAUGUUGUGAAAAUACACCCAUUUUAUAAUUAUAUAACACAAAUUCUUAUAAUAACAUAACUUAAAAUAAAGAUUUACACAAAUCAUUGCAAAAACAACAAUAGAAAUAACUUCUAUGCAUACAGAAAUAAGAGAGCCCAAGGUAGAAUGUGAAAAAGGUUUCAAGAUGAGAAAGUACCCAUAACUAGGGAGGAAGCUGGGAUGAGGGGUGGGGGGUACUGCAAUGCUGCACACAAUCCCUCACAAGCAUUGUGUGAUAUCACAGUGAGAUAGGUUUAAUAAUUACAACUAAAAACUCUGAAAUUAGUUACAUAGCUAAAAAGAGAAAUGCGUUCAUCAAGUUCAGCCUUUCUCACAUUCGUUUUUGCAGUGAUUCCAAAAGAAGGCAAAAAAGCGCUUCCAGUUUUGCAGCAAACUAGGAAAAAAUCCCUCUUUGUCAGGGGUUUGGUCGGGAAGGGGUGCUGAUCAGUGCAGCACCCUCUAAAGAAUGCAAAGAAACUUAUGUACACACAAAUAAAAGCAAAAAAUAAGUGUAUUGAUAUUUACAAAGAAGACAGUUAAGUAAAAUACAAACACAGAUAACGGAAUGUAGGAGAAGGACCACUAUAUACAGGGUAGGCAAGACAGGCUUAUGGAUACAGGGUAGGCAGGACAGGCAUCUGGAUACAGAGAUGGUAGGACAGGCCUCUGGAUACAGGGUAGGUAGGACAGGCCUCUGGAUACAGGGAAGGCAGGACAGGCCUCUGGAUACAGGGAGGCGGGACAGGCCUCUGGAUACAGGGUAGGUAGGACAGGCCUCUGGAUACAGGGUAGGCAGGACAGGCCUCUGGAUACAGAGAUGGUAGGGCAGGCCUCUGGAUACAGGGUAGGUAGGACAGGCCUCUGGAUACAGGAAAGACAGGAAAGGCCUCUGGAUACAGGGAAGGCGGGACAGGGCUCUGGAUACAGGGUAGGUAGGACAGGCCUCUGGAUACAGGGUAGGCAGGACAGGCCUCUGGAUACAGAGAUGGUAGGACAGGCCUCUGGAUACAGGGUAGGUAGGACAGGCCUCUGGAUACAGGAAAGGCAGGAAAGGCCUAUGGAUAUAGGGAAGGCGGGACAGGCCUCUGAAUACAGGGUAGGCGGGACAGGCCUCUGGAUACAGGGUAGGUAGGACAGGCCUCUGAAUACAGGUUAGGCAGGACAGGCCUCUGGAUACAGAGUAGGUAGGACAGGCCUCUGGAUACAGGGUAGGUAGGGCAGGUCUCUGGAUACAGGGUAGGCAAGACAGGCCUCUGGAUACAGAGUAGGUAGGACAGGCCUCUGGAUAUAGGGUAGGUAGGACAGGCCUCUGGAUACAGAGUAGGUAGGACAGGCCUCUGGAUACAAGGUAGGCAGGACAGGCCUCUGGAUACAGGGUAGGCAGGAUAAGAGGACCAGACCAACAACAAGACAUUAAUGAACUGGCAAACAAGAAAGGGCAAGUAUUUAUCCAAUUGGUGUUUAAACAUUUGUAUAGAUUUUGAUAAAACUGCCUCUUCAGACAGAGAAUUCUACAUCCUUUUUGUUUUUGCGUAGACUAAAAAUAAAUAGAAAUUACUAAUAUAAAGUACAUACAUCUUUGUCACUGAGUCCUUUCCCACUCCUGGGACAAAAGGAGACACUGUGAUGAUAGUCCAAGUAUGAGUAGUGAUAGACAACUUCUGAAGGGAUUUUCCUAGACCAAAAGCAAUAAGGAAUAUAAAAGUCUGGAGUAGUGACAGCCUGUUGGGGUCACUUAUUAAUGGAACUCAUAGAUUUAUGAACAAUGUAAAUCAGGUAAAAAGGUGAGGUGGUGUGUCAUCGGGUGCUUUUCCCUGAAGCAUAGUCGUUAAACAUUGUCUAUCUACAUGUGUUUGACAGUGUAAAAUAAUAUCUAGGAGCAACAUUGGACAAAGUGCUUUACUUGUGUUAUGGGAAGUAUUGAGGCUACCUGAUGACUGAUAAAGUGUGGAAGUUUCUCUGAUGUAACUGAGGCCAAGACACCCCUAAUUUUAAGAUUCUUCCAUCUAUCUCAGUCAUCAAGGUGGUCAAACUGUAGGGUAUAGUUUCAGUGUAAUGUUUGCAAUUGUUGUACUGUUUUCCCCUUGAGUAGAUUCAGUAUAUCCUCUUCUGAGGCCUGGACACAAGCAGUAAUCCUCUGUCUUUACAACUUCAACAUCUUUUAAAUGUCUGCAAAUAGAUUUUGGAUGUCCUACUUUGUGGCUGGGGCUGUUUUGUCCGAAUCAGCAGAGGUGGUUGAAUUGGAGUCUUGUGUAUGUGAUGGCAGGGCCUAGUCAGUAAUACCAUCCUCAAUCAGGGAGGUGUAGGCCUCCGAAUCAGCUGGUUGCACCAUCUUGGUCCGCAGAGUGCUUUGAAACAUUGUGACAAUGUCUCUAAUGACUUUGGAGGCAGUUGCCUGUGGCCAGUGGUGUAUUUUGGUUUUGUGCUGCCCUAGGCAUGACAAAACUCAGGCACCCUCCCCUUCUAAAUUUCCUUUCCUGUUAAAAACCAACACGCUCUUUGCCUGACAGACACACGCCUUCACUGAUGCAUACACUGACAUACACUCACUGACAGAUACACAGUCAUUGUCACACACACUGUUUAACCUACACACACUUUCACUGAAACAUACACACUCACUGAUAGACAGAAAUGCACACUCACAUUCACCGACAGACACACACAUCCACCGACAGACACACUAACUGACACACACAUUUACUGACAGAUACACAUACACACUCAUUGACAAGACACAUACUCACUGACAGACACACACUCACUCAGUGUCAGACACACACACACUGUGACACACAUAUGCUUACUGACAGACACACAUUGACAAACACACAUACAUACUCACUAACAGACACAUAUACGCUCAGUGUCAGACACACACAUUCACUAACAGACAUACAGAUUGACUCACAGAUACACAUUCUCAGUGACAGACACUCAUACACACACUAACAGACACACACAUUCACUAACAGACAUACAUACUCACUCUCACUAAUAGACACAGAAAAACAAACACACUCACUGACACAUACACACACCAACACACUCACUAACAGACACACACACACACACACACAGUCUCAUUAACUGUAAAGACAGACAGACAAACUAACACACUCACCAACAGACAGACACACACACACACACUAACACUAACACACUCACUAACAGACACACACACACUCUCACUUACAGACACAGACACACUAGCACACUCACCAACAGACACACUCUCACUAACAUAGACACACACAAACACUCACUAACAGACACACACACACACACACACACACUAACACUCACUAACAGACACACACACACACACACACACACACUCUCACUAACACACUUUAAGGGAUUAUUCCCUGGGGUCCCGUGGAGCUGAGAGGAAAGACAGGUGCAUAGUUCAUGCGAGCAGCGAGGGAACUCUGAUCCUAUGCCGAAGCCAGAAUAUGACAUCAUAUUCUGGCUCCGGCAUCUCUGCAGGGCACACAAGGGAACUGAGCAGGGAAGAGCUCAGGGGAGAGUGCUCCCUCGCUGCCUGUCUCCCAUAUCAGCCCAUGCCAGCCUCUGGGGGUCCCUGAGGUGGUCAGCCGGCCAGCUCCCAGGCCCUCCAGGACAAGAGGCUGACAUGGCAUCUGUCGGGGCCUUUAGGGGGUGUUUUUUUUUUUGCCGCCUCCCUGAAAGUGCUGCCCAUGGCAAAUGCCUUGUCAGCCUCGUGGUAAAUACAAUGCUGCCUGCGGCACAAGCAAGGUUAGCAGAAAUGUAAAUUGUGUCUAUACUGGAUCGAUAAUAAAAUGCACAAAAUAGCACAAAAAACAAUCUCUGAUAUGUGUUUCAGGAUUAAAAAUAAGGCUUUUUGGGGGAUAAACACAUUCUAAUGUGUAAUAUAUCACGGUUGUUAUAUGACGCCUACUUCUGAAAUUUAUUUCGAUUUUUAAUGAGGUACCACAAGUUAACAUUUUCUUGUGAUUUAGUGCAAUAUUAGAUAUUUUUCACAAUUUACACUGUUAGUACUUUAAAUAUUUGUUUAAGCACACUUUACAUAUAUUGCACUGUUUAUAGAAGCACUCUACUUGUAAGGUUUUUAAAUAAACAAAGCUAGUAUCAUUGGUUGUGAGAUUCUCUUGCUCUCAUGUUUUCAUACUUUUUCUAAAUUGCUCCUAUACUGUUUUAUUUUAUUAUUUUGUUGUUUUCAUCUAUUUAGACAAGACAAAUGUAUUAUUGUGCAUUGCAAUCCAAAAAAAGAAGGCAGAAAAACUGCGUACCCACAGGGGUUAGCAUUGCUUUAAGUAACUGAUUAGAAUCAUCAUUCCUUUUAUGUCCAUCAGCUGUAUGAUGUGUUCCCAUCCCUGUAUGGCCAUUGGCCUGUGCCAUACUGUUUCACCCAGCAAAGCAUUAUAAUUUCACUGAUUGUUUCGAAUGAUUCACCCAUCCCUGUCAUAUGGUAUACAUAAGUCUGAGUUGGAUAAUUCUGUUUUUUACUUUUCAGACAUAAUCUGUGACCUUAACUGUCUAUUAAUUUUCCUUUACUGUUUUCAUUAGGUGUAAAACACUGUUAAUAUGACCUUUCUAAAGGAAUGAAUAGCAAUAAUAAUAAAAAUGAUGGUCUUUAGUGAAUCGACUUUUCAGUGGGAAUCUUUUGUUUCUGAAAACAUGCUUUUUUAUUUUAAAUCACAACUAAGCUGCUGAAUGAGCCAUUGCACCACAAGGCAAUUUUUCAGCUUCUGGAAAUAUAUGUUUACCGACUUUCAGGGUAACCUAGCUGUAUAUAAAACAACGUGACUGAAAACAAUCACACAGCUCGAAGCCAAUUUAAUUAAGUCCCAUUAAGGAGCUGAGGCUCCAGAAGCAUCCAGAGAAAGGCACUUUCUACAUCUUUUCAGAUGGUGCAUGCAUUUAAUACAAGGGUCAUUUCAAUGUGUUACUAUUACAGGAUUAUAGGAUUGAUAAAUUACAUAGUUCAUAUUUCCAUUUAUUUUUGAGUGGACCGAGGGAAUAAUUUCUGUCUGCAAGACAGUUGAAGGAGGGUGCCAGAUGAGGAGGAAUGGACAUCUUAAUGGGACAGGUCUGGAUCCCAAGCAAGUGACCAGUCACCCUUAUUCCAGUUACAAUGCCUUAGGUGCUUAGAGAAACCAUUUCAUUCACAACAUCACUUAUUGUGAAGUAUAUUUGCCAUGCUCUGUAAUACAGUGUCAAUGAUGUGGUUCUACAUUUGUAUCUGUUUCCUAGUGGAUCAUAUUUCAAUAUCACCGACAACUAUAUACCUUUGAAGAGCUCAUGAAUAUACUGGUCUUGAAUCUGUCUGUCCCCUCUGGUAUCCCUGAAUACCUGGCUUGAUCUCCUGUUGCCUCCACUUCACCAUCCAGUUCCUGGGAAAGGUCAUCUCACAGUGCUAAAUUGUGCAAGUAGCAGCAUACAGUUAUCAUGGGGUAAGUACACAUACACUGUGUUAUGGUGGCUGCUGAAAAAAGUUAGUGUGGCGCUCAGUUACAAACUGCAUUCUGUGAAAGGCUCUACAGUACGCGCUCUGCGCUGGACCUGGAUUCUGAGUGACAGCUGUUCGCAAGUGUGUACUCAUAUCCAGCGUUACCUGGGGUAAACAGAAGGUACAUCUUAAAGAGUAACACCAAUUGCAUCUGUACAUAUAAAAAGAAAGUAAACAUAAAAAGCACAUACAGCAGGAAAAACACACACAUAUGAGCAUCCCGCAACCCCAUGUGUAAGUAGCUAUGGGGAAUAAGAGUCUUCUGGCUAGCCAGGGUUGCCCCAAGACAUUGUGCAGCCUUGGUCCAAGGAUGAAAUGCUGCCUUCUUCUCACCAAACCCACGCCUAAUAUAACACACUCACAUCCAAUUUUUUUCCCCUUCAUCUCUCCAAUGCCACUUGGAGUUAAGCCAUCGGGAGGAAUUCCACAUAACGCUGACAACUUAUGACGUCUGAUAUCACUGCGUAUGUAGUGUUCGUGUUUGAAUGAAGGGGUGUAUUUGUAUGUAAUGUUUGUGUUUUAAUACAGGGAUUUAUUUGUAAAUAGUGUUGGUGUUUGAUUGCAACAGUGUGUUAAUAUUUAGUGUGGGCAUUUGAUGGCAGGGGUUUGUUUGCAUGUAGUGUUGGUGUUUCAUUGCAUUUAGUGUUGGUGUUUGAUUGGAGGGGUGUUUGAAUGUUAAUGCUGGGAUCUAUGCACAUAUACACACACACACAUAUACCCACACUGACACACACACAUAUACAGACAUACUGACACACACACACACACACACAUAUAUAUAAUACAACACAAAUCUGCACACCAGUCAAGCCAUAAGACUUGCUUUUCCCACAGGAAUCACAAAGCUGCAGUGAUGUUACUACCUCAAAGGAUUCUGGGUGGGCAUAAGCAAAUUAGUUCAACAAAGAAUCACAUUUUUGCCUCAUUCCAGGCAAUGUUGUGUGUACCAUGGAAGGUACACUUUAAAAUGUCACUUUCACCCUAUUACACAGAUAUUCUGAAUUUAAACAAAUAUGUUUAGUUUAAAAUGACAGACUUGAUAAUUUCCUUGCCCUUUUGGAGUAUCCCCCGUGAGUGGCAUGGACAAAAGAUCCAAUACUUAUAUUCAGGGGAAUCCAAAUUAUAUCAGUCUCGUGGAGUAGCAAUUAACACAAAUGGCUGUGAGUCCAGAAUUACUUCCUGCUCGUUUAUUCAAAGUAGGGUGUAUUUAUACACAAUAUUGUUGCAGUUUAGCUUGAAAGUUUAAAAAUAAAGUUUAAAAAUAAAUAAUGUAGUUAAAGAUAGGAAAAUCAUAAGAUAAAAUUAGUUAAUGUUGCUACAUAUUUCAUAAGAUAUAAAAUGAGUUUACAAAACAAUAUGUGGUUACAUAUUUUAUAAGAUAGGAAGGUCGCAGAGACAAAAUUAGCUAGCAAAUAGUCACACAAUGUACAGUUUCUCAAAAUAAGUACUCCAGUGGGGGCUAGAAUACACAGAAAACGCAACUUAUGCUGACACGUAUACAGCAUUUUAAAGAGAAAACAUUCAUUACAUAUAAAGACCAUCAGAUGUAGGCCUUAAUUUAAUUACGCUGAACAUUGGAAUCAAGAUAUAUUCUAUCACAGGAGCAGUGGAAACCAUUCAUUUAAUACUAUCACUCUCAGAUUUCCAAAGAAAAUCCUGGAUUUUUAAAGGGGGCUGUUUCGGACAUUCCUCUUCCCAUUGUAAUUGCUAUGUAAAUGCAUGUUCUACUUUGAAAUUAAAAUGAAAAAUGUCCUGCUACGGUAAUAGAGAACUCUUGGAAUGAGGCAAAAAUUUGAUUCUUUUUUGUACUAAUUUGCAUAUGCCCAGCCAGAAUCCUUUGCGGUAGUAACAUCACUGCAAAUUUGUGAUUCCUGUGGGAAAAGCAAGUCUUAAGGCUUGAUUGGUGUGCAUUUUUGUUCAACAUUGUAUUAACUGUCCCCAGACUUCAUGUGGAAGGUGUUUUCAAUCACAAUUUUUCCCCACCAUACCUUUUUUGGUAUGUAUAUACAGUGUGACCUCGGUUUACAAACACCUCGGUUAACAUAAUUUUCGGUUUACAAAUGAAAAUCCAUUGAAAAUAAUGCCUCGGUUUACAAAUUUUUUUUGCAAUACAAAGCAAGUUUCCCCAGGAUGCAUUGCACCUGGGAGGUUUAUAGCACUGCCCAGUGCAUGCUGGAGCCUGUGGGUAGCACGUGGCGUCGAGUGUGGAGGUGUGCUACCCACAGGCUUCGUUGUAUGCAUGCCUUUUAUUGUGUGUUCUGCAUUGUGGGUUGGUUUCCAUGGCAGCUCAUUUUAACUUUUUUUCUGACCUCCAGAACGGAUUAAUUGGUUUUCAAUGCAUUCCUAUGGGAAACCGCGUUUCGGUUUACAAAUGUUUCACAAUAAGAAACGUCCCGGAGAACGCAUUAAAUUCAUAAACCAAGGUCCCACUGUAUGUAUAUAUAUAUAUAUAUAUAUAAAUAUAUAUAUAUAUAUAUAUAUAUAUAUACCCACACACAUAUACAUACACACACACAAGUCUCAACUUAGUCUCAGCAUAUUUGUAGCCACUCCCCUGCUUCCAUGCCUUUUAGUUUCAGGAGUUUAGUUUAUUGGGCUGGCUGAGGCUGAUGGGAGUCUGAACCUGCCCAGGCUCUCUGUCUGCAGUGUGCUCCCUCUCUGUGCCUCCUCUGUCCUCUAGCCUAUAAACUGGGAGGAUCUCCCCAGCACUGGCUGUCGGUAUUAAAAGGGCCCGGUCUCACUACCAAGGGGCCGCAGCACCCAACUGAGCCUCUUAUCCCAUGUGCCCGACAAUCAUGUUUGCCAUAAGUGGAUGGGCUACCCGAUGGUCCCCCAUUACAUGCGGUCACCGACAGUAGUUCCACCAAUGGGGGGUGGCAAAUGCUGCAUGGGGCCAUGACCCUAUUGGAACCCAUGCACUGUCCCGCUCUGCUUCAGGUACAAGGUAGACAUGAUACAAGAUGGUCACACUCAGCGGAGGGGCCGGUGUAACAUAUAGGGUUUAUAUUAUUAUGUGUACUUAAGCAAAAAAACAUAAUUCUGGGAAAUGCCACCCUUAAACUAUUCAAAGAAGAAUGAACUAUGUAGGAAAUAUUAGUCAUGAGUACUUCCAGGUAAACCAACAUUCACAUGCUUUAUGACUUUUGGAUGAUUACAAACAACGUGCAUCUGCACGGGAGUGGAAUGUUUGCAAUAUUCAUAUAGGAUAUCGUAAACUUAGGCAGACGUGAGUUGUGCAAGUGUGCAGUCAAUGGUUCUCAUGGAUUUUAGGCCAGAUUUACAUGUCAGGUGCCUGUAGGCAGGGAAUUCUAAGGCUCCCCAUUCUCGCCCCCCACCCCAAUCCCAACAAAAAGAUAGACAAAUUGGGUUUAAUGUAAUUAUUAACUGAACAUUGCAGACAUAAAAAAUUGAUCUAAUGAAAUAUGUAUUUCAAUUUGACAACUGUAUAUGUAUAUACAUAUCUCUACUUGUAAUGUAUAGUGUUUGAAUCUGUGGUAUAGUGUGUGCAUGCCAUGAUCCAUGUUAGCAGUCCUUUAACACUAGUUUUGAGAGAAAGGAAUUGAAGCUCCAGAAGUCGGGGCUUGUGGUAACCAGGAAGAUAAGCAAUACAUUUCAACAGGUGGACUGCGCAAUCCAACAUGAAAGGACUAUGUUCCUUUGGAAGCUGAAGGAACCCAUAAAAUGUUGGCAACUUAUUAUUACUAUCGCCAUUUAUAUAGCGCUAACAGAUUCCGUAGUGCUUUAUAAACCUGAGAACUUUUCUAAUCAUCCAUGAGAAGAUCAUACAAAUCAGGGAUGCUUGCACAUGUCAAGUGACAACACUCAUUUAUGUCUCCAUCCCCCAUUUUUGUAUGUUUUUCUAGGGGCCCUCUGCUGUUGAUGAUUUGUCUUUCCCUCUCUCACCUGGCGAGCCCCUCUCACAGCCUCACCUGGUCUCCCAUGUUCCACAACUCAUUGCUGCUGAUGUUGGUGCUGAGGCAGUUGCUGGUUUCUGCAUGGGCUGCUGUAGUCAAGCCAUGCAUUCUGGGUACAACUUGCCAAGUUUCCUACUUUCCAGUGCCAUUUUUGAUAGUGAAUUGCAGCUAUGAAUAGGUGGCAAAUGUGUAAUAAACCUAUACGCUUCCACAGGUUAUUGCAGUGUGUGCUUGUUUCUUAAAGGUGUUAAAUGUACUUUUCAAUUAUUGUGCACCCUCAUAUUUGUUAUGUUUCCUAAUUGCCAUUUAAUUCUUCAAAUUGUUGAGGUAUGAAUGCUUGUAGUGAUUUUUCUGGUUAUGAGCUAACACUUUUUUGAGGUAUUGGUAAUUUGUUAAAAAAAACAAAAACAUUACCAAGACUUUUGGGGUUCUCAAUUCACCAUGUUUUCAAUGAUCUCAUCAAAUUAAUUUCUGGUAAGGGUGUGACUGAUAAAACUGCAAUGUUUAACAUAAGAUAAUAUUUUAAUUCUGAUAGAAGUGGUGUUGGAAAGUUUUUCGAUUGAUAAGAUGGUGAUCAUCUCGGCAUUGUAAACUGUUCAUCGUUAACAUUUUUGACAAAUACUAGAUAUGAGAUUGUAAUUUAUCUAUCAGUACAUAUCAGAUCAUCCUGAAUGUGUCUUUGUUCUUGGGGAUUUCUGCACAUAUAUGACUAUUAGAAUAUAACUGUGUAUGACAUACAGAAAUUGUCAUUAUAUUCCCAUUUGCCAUAGUUCUGCCAAGAUAACUGAAAAGAAAAAACGCAGGAGGCCUUAGCGGCUGUUAUUCAGCAGCAAAACGUGGUGGAAGAGAUGCAUAAGAUUAAGCAGCUUGUCUAACACAAAAGAAACCCUGUUUUUGUUAGUUGUUUAGUAAGUGGGUCAUGGAUAAAUUAAGAGAGGUUAAAGGGUCAUGUAACAGAAUAGCUAUUCUGAUCUCACUUCUAAUUGUAGGAUAUCUUUUUCUGGGACACUUUCAUUGACACUUGUAAUAAUUAUGACUUUUAUGUAGAGCUGGUAAGUUUACUACUUAUUAUUGUCAACAUACUAUAGAGCUCGAGUUCCUAAGAAGUUCUACUUCUUUAGAGUAAAUUUCAUAAUAGCCCUCUCUAGAAAUAAUACUGAGUAAGUAAUCAUCUGACUAAACUCUUGACAUUUACGAUGUAAUUAGGAAAAAUGUCAAGAGAUAGUGGUCAAAACCGCAUUAAUCUUAAACUGCAGGUUUUAUUUAUUUAAAUACUGAAUUAUAAUGAAUUGAAAACCAAAUCAUAAGAGACAAAAAAAGCUUAUUUGGGAAAAAAAAUGUCCUGCUCAGUUAUAACAACGUGUUGGCUAUUUUAGCCUAAAUGUUGUCCUUGUUUUCAGUUCACAUCUAUGUUUAGUUAUUUUAGUCAUUAACCCCUUAAGGACUGAGCCAAUUGGACAAGUUGCGAUUAAAACAAAACGUAAACAAAACCUGGAAUUUGCGCUAUAUGUCUGUUCUUUCAUAUUAUGUGCACCCACACUUAACAUAUAUCAUUUUGUUCAUGAGAAACAGGGAUUUCAUGUCACAUGAAAUUUAUUAUAGUAAACAUAAUUUAAUAUGAGUAAAAUAUUAAAAAAAUGAGAAAUUAAGAAAUUUUGUUACUUUUUAGUUCUGCAUGGCAUUUUAACUGUGAAUGUCAUAAUACUGUUAGCUGUUACUGCAAUAAAGUACACAUAUUUCUAUUCAGCGAUGUCUCACAGGUAAAACAGUACCCCCAAUGUACAGGUUCUAUGGUGUUUUGGAAAGUUACAGGGUCAAAUAUAGCACAUUACAUUUUUCAGUCUAUACACAUUGAGUAUAUCCAGUCUUUUCUAGUAGCCACUUAGCCACAAACACUGGCCAAAGUUAGCGUUCAUACUUGUUUUUGUUGGCUACAAAAAAAGACUGGACAUACAACAUUUGUAAUACCUUGGGUUGUCUACGUUUGCAAAUGGUAUGCCAUCAUGGGAGUAAUUUUAAUUUCUGGGCUACCAUACAGUCUCAAAGGCAACAUAACCAGUCUGGCAAAUUUCAAUGUAAAAAAAGGAAAUCCAAGCCUUAUAUUUGACUCAGUAAUUUUUGAAAACACCAUAAAACCUGUACAUGGGAGGGGGGGGUACUGUUAUACUCAGGAGACUUCGCCGAACACAAAUAUUAGUGUUUCAAAAUAAUAUCUUCAGUGAAAGAACCAAAUUUUUACUGACAAUAUCAUCGUUGUGAUAUGUUUUACUGUUUUUAAACACUAAUAUUUGUGUUCAGCAAAGUCUCCAGAGUAAAACAGUACCCCCCAUGUACAGGUUGUAUGGUGUCCUGGAAAAUUACAGAGUUAUUUAUAGGGCUUGCGAGCCAAAUUCUCUGGACUUACUGACUUACUGACAAAUAAGUAUAAUAUAUACAGUGAAGGAGAUGUGAGUGUGAUGUAUCACCUGAGUGGGAAACCCCUUAUACCACUCCAAAAUAUACACAAAUGCAAACAUACAGUAGGUGAAUCACACUCUUGGAGAUAUCUUAACCUCAGUGUGGGUCCCCACCUGAGAUAAAAGUCCCUUGCCGUGGCAGGCGAUAGAACGGGUAAACAAUGGGAGGAAACUUCAUAUAGAAUGCUAGCUGUAGAUGAUGAGCGUUCAGCUCAGCCGUGUAAGAUGAUCCAACCACUAGCAGCUGAUGGAAGUCACAGAAACAAGGUGAGGUGCGGGUUGAUUCUAAUUCAGAAUACACUGCGGUCGGUGUCUUCAAAAAAGACUGUGGUGUAGAAAGCUUCAGUUACUCAGUAAAUAAUGAGAAGACCGGAAGCAGUAGAUACGUGAUGUCGUCUACACAUUUCGUUCCCAAUGUGGAACUUUAUCAAGACCAGGUCCAGGCUGGCAUGAGUCCUGCUCCAAAGGCUGGCAUACCGUGUUUCCCCGAAAAUAAACCCUACCCCGAAAAUAAGCCCUAGUCGGAUUUUCGGGGUGGGCUGCAAUAUAAGCCCUACCCCGAAAAUAAGACCUAGGCAUUGUACCUUUGCGGUGAGACUUCCUUCUUCUGCUGUAGGAGGAGCGUCGCGCAACGUGAUGACGACAUUUUGCAGCGCCGUCAGUCUGCCUUCACGGAUCUUCAGCGGAAGGAUCCAUUUCCGGGCGGUGAGGCUCCCAGUGGUCGGACUCGGCAAGGAAUCUUUGAAAUGUGAGUACUGCUAGAUAUUUUAUGUCUGGGAUUUAUUGAAUUAAUUAAAGGGGGGUGAAUUAAUUAAAGGGGGGUGAAUUAAUUAAAGGGUGGGCUGGAUUAAUUAGAGGGGGUGAAUUAAUUAAAGGGGUGGUGAAUUAAUUAAAGGGUGGACUGGAUUAAUUAGAGGGGGUGAAUUAAUUAAAGGGGUGGUGAAUUAAUUAAAGGGUGGGCUGGAUUAAUUAGAGGGGGUGAAUUAAUUAAAGGGUGGGCUGGAUUAAUUAGAGGGGGGUGAAUUAAUUAGAGGGGGUGGAUUAAUUAGAGGGGGGUGGAUUUAUUAAAGGGUACCGUACCGGUACCGGUACCGUAAAUAAAUAAGCCCUACCCUGAAAAUAAGCCCUAGUGAGUUUUUUGUGACUAAAAUUAAUAUAAGACCCGGUCUUAUUUUCGGAGAAACACGGUACAUAAUGAGAGAUAAAAAGAAGAUGAGAAAAGAAAAGAGUCCUCAGGGUCCUGAUUAGCCGAUGCCUUGCGGGGUACUGGUGGCGCUCCUGCGUGGUACUCUAUUUCUCGGUAGUUCAAUGUAGGCAGGUUGUGGUGUUGCUGAGCUUGGAGGGUGCGCCUUCCGGCUCCAUUUAUGUGGUAACCGAGGCGUAGGUGACCGGUGUGGUGCUCUGCGGUCUGAAUGGGGCACUUUUUGCUGGAUCCCAGCUGUGGGUCGGGGUGGUGGGAUCACGGGGUCCCGCUUGGGAGAGUGAAUCCUGUGACAGACCCAGGGUUCAUAGAAGAACCGCUGCGUCUUGCAUGCUGUAGAUUUGGUGUGUUGUUUCGCCAUGUUGUACCAGGAGCGUGUAUGAGGACCGCCAGCGAUACGGUAUUUUGUUGCGCUGGAGUGUGGAGGUGAGAGGCCGAAGUGACCUGCGCCACGCCAGAGUUCCACUGGACAGGUCGGCGUAGAAGGUUAAUUUUGCAUUCUCAAACUGUAUGGGGGCUUUACCCCGGACGGCGGUGAGGACAUUUUUAAAGGUAAGUAUAGUGUCCCUUUUGGCCAUAUCUGGGGCCCCAGCGGGUUUUGGAAUCUGGAAGAGAUCUGUGGGUGUGAUGGCUUUGGCUUGGUCUAGGGGCAGCAUGGUGGUUAGCAGGUGCUUGAUUGUGUGCGGUAGGUCAGCCUCCGGCAACCCCUCUGGGAUCCCCCGACCUUUAUAUUGAGUCUCCGUCUUGUGUCUUCCUGGGUUGCGAAGCGCCGUUCAUACAGCAUAUUUUGGUUGCGCAGGUCCCCCAUAUCUUUCUGCAGUGAGGCGAUAGUGCGCUGCUGUUCUUGGGAGGAAUCCUCUAGUACUGUAAUGCGGCCUGCCAGGCCCUGCAGCUCUCCCCUUAGUGUGGUGACAUCCGCGAGGAUGUUUUUUUGUAGGUCCGCUAGCAGGGUCUUUAACACCCCGGUGGUUACCAGGUCGGCGUCUGGGUCCUUCCUUGGUUUGCUGGGUUUUGCCCUCUGCUUUGGGUCUGGGGCUGAGAGGCAUUCAUCUUCGGCUCCCCAUGAGCAGUUGUCUGAGAAAUUCGAGCAGCCUCCGUGGAGUGCCGCCAUAUUGGAUCCGCUCGGGCCGAAUGCCUGCCGAUACAUUUCCCCUAUUGUGAGUCCUGGGACUGGUUUGUCCGGCAUCUGUUUCUUGUGCUUGCGUCCCAUUAGGGCUUAUGGGGUUCCUGCUUGCGGUCAGUGGUUAUUGGGGGUAGUAUCUGCCGUUUUUAAGUGUAUUUUCUCAGUUUUUGCUCGGAGCUCCUGAGUCUUGCGUCUGCUUGCCUCUGCUGUUAGGCUCCGCCCCCCAAAAAUAGAUUUCUAGUUUUUCUUCUUUUAAAUAUAGUCUCCUACUUUACUGUGUUGAUUCCCUUUAUGUAUUUAAAUGUUUCUAUCAUAUCCCCCUGUCUCGUCUUUCCUCCAAGCUAUACAUGUUAAGAUCCUUUAACCUUUCCUGGUAAGUUUUAUCCUGCAAUCCAUGAACCAGUUUAGUAGCUCUUCUCUGAACUCUCUCUAACGUAUCAAUAUCCUUCUGAAGAUACGGUCUCCAGUACUGCGUACAGUACUCCAAGUGAGGUCUCACCAGUGUUCUAUGCAAUGGCAUGAGCACUUCCCUCUUUCUACUGUUAAUACCUCUCCCUAUACAAUCAAGCAUUCUGCUAGCAUUUCCUGCUACUCUAUUACAUUGUCUGCCUACCUUUAAGUCAUCAGAAAUAAUCACCCCUAAAUCCCUUUCCUCAGAUGUUGAGGUUAGGACACUAUCAAAUAUUCUGUACUCUGCCCUUGGGUUUUUACAUCCAAGAUGCAUUAUCUUGCACUUAUCCACAUUAAAUGUCAGUUGCCACAACUCUGACCAUUUUUCUAGUUUACCUAAAUCAUUUGCCAUUUGGCUUAUCCCUCCUGGAACAUCAACCCUGUUAAUGAUGUAUGCAUGUGUAUAUAAAAGUACUUAGAUCAUAUAUAUAUAUAUAUAUAUAUAUAUAUUUUUUUUUUUAAUUUAAACACUGUUUUAUAACUAUUAUUAUCUUAAACAAACUUAACUUUUUUACAGACAUGAGGGGGACAGCCUGAGAGGUCAGGCAGUCCCCUUACUGGCACUGCAUAAGCCAGCUAUUCCGGCUAUGUGAUCGCGAGGACCCCGUGAUCACGUGGCCAGGGGCUGGAUCAGGCAGAGGGGGUCUAUCUGAGCUCCCAGGCAGACCCGGGGAUCGCGACCGCCAUUGGGGGAACAGCGAGGACCCAGAAAGUACAAAGGACAGCGGGGACGUUUUAUGCCGCCUGCCGGCAUUUAUGACCGCCUAAAAAAGGACGGGAUAGAAUGCUCACUGUCAUUAAAGGAUUAAACCGAUCACAUUUUGCUGCCCAAAAAGAUACUAUGAAAUGUAUGGAAUCAAUGUUAAGGGAGAUAAAAAAUAGGAUGUUUUAUUAUAUUCUGUACAUAUUUUUAAACAAGGUCUUGAUGGCUUUUUAUUUAUUUUUUAUUAAAAACAGAAUAGUUAAAGGGACACUCCACUAACUAAAUUCAAAAUUUAAAAAAAAACACUUUUUAGUAUAUAUGCCCCAAAUGAAAAAUGCAUUUAAUUACACAUUUUUCAUUGGGGGGUAAAUCUAAAGAAAACAGCUUGCAGAACCUACAGAUCUCUUCUGUUCUGCCUGGCAAACCCUACCAAAUAAUAAAGUGUGUAUGAUAUAUGUCUUCAGCUGGUGACUGUGACAUGGUGAGUAAAGGGGUACCAGUGGCAGGGAGAGUGUGACAGGACAAAUUAGGUAAAUGGGGCAGGGUGGGGGGAGUUGUGAGAGAGAAUGAGGGAUGGUGAGUAUGACAUGGUUUUAUGAGGGAGUGUGACAGGGCGAGUGGAGGUAAGUGUGCCAGGGCAAUAGUGUCAGGGGGCCUUCUGUGAUGACCAUGGAUGUCCCCCAUGGUACUCACCUCUUACAGGAGGAGAAUGAUCCUCUCCAGCAUCCCUCUUCGUUCUCCAGCAUUUUUUUACGCUGGCCUCGAUAGCCCCGCCCCCUUUUAUGCCGCGGCGCGGGUGCAUCAACAUCAUAACGCUAAUGAUGUCACGUCCCGCCGAAAUGUUUGGUGGUGUGGUUACCAUCCUAACGAGCCACAGUAUAAAAAGGACUCAGAGGGCAAGGUUCAUUGCUCUGUUGUGGUUCAUUAUUGUUCCCUAUAGUGCUUUAUCUGUAUUCUGUAUUCUGGUUAUUGACUUCGCCUCCAUUUUGACUACUCUCCAUUCUAUACUCCUUUGACCCGGCUUUAGUAUUCUCAUUUACCCUGAUCUCUGUACUCCUUGACCUCGGCUUGACUCUGACCACUCUUUGUUCUUCUUACAUUAGUCCGGCCAUUCUAAGGUCCGGUAUACGUUACCGUUUGAUUACAUUCUGUGUGUUGGAUCCCAUUCCAUUCUUGACAUUACAACAGGGCCAUGAUUGAUCCAGCAGGUGUAGGCUCUCAAGGUUGUCCAUACGAUACCCUUUUUGAAGAAAUGGAUCAUCGUAUGGAUCAAAUAGCAUUAGCGUUCAUAACCCUUAUGAAUAGGUCCAUCCCCAGACCCGAAGAAAGUCGUAACCCUUCUACGAUUCCUGUACCCAUGGGAUUUGAGGUUGCUACUGUUGUGGCUUCAUCGCAUGUUACAUCACCAUUGCAUUAUGUUGGAGAACCUGAUGCCUGUCGGGGUUUUUUGAAUCAAGUUAGCUACAACCCCGUUCUUAUCCUACAGAUAGAGCAAAGGCUGGUUUCAUUAUUACCCUGCUAGUCGAUAAAGUAUUAACCUGGCUAAUCCUCUUUGGGAGAACGAGAAUCCAUUGGUGUACAAUUAUGUUGCUUUCAUAGCCGUGUUUAGACACACUUGUGACCCCUCUGGUAGGAAAGCCAAUGCUGCCAGAACCUUACUUCGCCUAAGCAAGGUACUAGAUCUUUGGUCGACUUCAGGUCCUUAGCCGCUGAAGUGACUUGGAACAACCAAGCUUUUAUAGAUGUGUUCCUUAAUGGUUUGUCUGAUGUGAUAUUGGAUGAGAUAGCUACCAGAGAACUCCCAGAGAACCUAGAGGAGUUGAUUUCCUUUAUAUCACGUAUAGAUAAAUGCAUGUGAUUUAGACAAAACACCAAAGAUCGCCUUAUCAAUGUUCCUACUAUGUCUCCUUUAUCCACAGAAGUACCCAAACAAUAUCUAGGCAUAAAGGCAGUAUUCAAUAAGAGAAAAGCUGAGUUAUUACCUCCUCAUAGACCCUACGACUGUGCUAUUAACCUUCUAGAGGUACUGUUUACUCCUUUUCUGCCAAGGAGAACUUAGUUUUGGACGAAUACAUUACAGAGAAUUUGAGGAAGGUUUUUAUUAGGUCUUCUUCUCCAGCAGGGCCUGGAUUUUUCUUUGUAUCCAAGAAAGAAGGUCCUCUUAGACCCUGUAUAAAUUCUAGAUUGAAUAAAAUUACCUUUAAUUACUGAGUUGUUUGAUAGUUUCAAAGAAGCCAAAUUUCUUACCAACCUAGAUCUUAGAGGGGUGUAUAAUCUUGUCAGGAUUCAUGAGGGAGGAGUGGCAGACAGCCUUUAACACUAUGGGCAUUAUGAAUUAUGCUUUUUGGGAUAUGCAAUGCCCCGGCUGUCUUCCAAGACCUCAUCAAUGACAUGUUAAGGGAAUUCCUUCAAGAGUGUAUUAUAGUAUACCUAGAUGAUAUUCUGAUUUAUUCAGACAAGUUAAAAAGGAAUUGACUAAACUGUUACAAAACGGAUUGUACUGUAAACUUGAAAAAUGCCUUUUUGACCAACACUAAAUCAGUUUUCUUAGAUGUGUGAUUUCAGGAAAAGGGUUUUCUAUGGAUCCCAAGAAAUUGUACUCCAUACUCCAAUGGCCACUACCUAAUGGGUUAAAGGCUAUUCAAACUAUUACAGACGCUUCAUAAAGAAUUUUUCGUCUAUAGUUGCUCCAAUAACAAACGUGACAAAAAAAGGUAUGAAUCCAAGGAGAUGGGAUUCCAAUGCGUUAAAAGCUUUUGAGAUACUUAAAACAUCUUUUGCAUCUGGCCCUGUUUUAGUGCAUCCUAAUCCUAGUCUAUCUUUUAUGUUAGAGGUAGAUGCUUCAGAGACUUGUGUAGGAGCUGUGUUGUCCCACUGACAAAGUCCUGACCUACCACUACACCGUUGCGGGUUCUAUUCUAGAAAAUUGUCUGAUACAGAAAAACGUUACGCCAUAGGAGACAGAGAACUCCUUGCUAUAAUCCUAGCUUUAAAAGAAUGGCGACACCUGUUAGAAGGUAAAUUACUUCCAGCGACUAUCCUAACAGAUCAUAAAAACCUCUCCUAUAUUAGAGAGGCCAAAGGUCUUUCUGCUAGGCAAGCCUGAUGGUCCCUUUUUAAAACAAGAUUUAACUUCGUGUUAACGUAUAAACCUGGUUUGAAGAAUUCUGAAGCUGAUGCAUUGUCCCGUCAAUAUGAACCGCUUGUCGAUUCUACUUUUGAUUCUAAUUUUGAGGUAUCUUCUAUAGUAACCAAACAACUCAUCAUAGCUAAUACUAGUAUCAGUCUCCCCUGGUGACGGAUAUUGCUGCUAAACAGUCACAGUCUCCUGGGGUUAUCCCAGAAGGAUGUCUAUAUGUUCCUCCUGAACACCAGAAUGAGAUACUUGUCCAUUUUCAUGACAGUAAAAUCGCAGGUCAUCCAGGUGUUCGCAAGACAUAUUCCCUAAUUGUCAAAGAAUACUGGUAGCCUUCAUUGCGAAAGGAUAGUAAUAAAUAUGUUAAGGCUUAUACGAUUUGCACAAGAACUAAACUGUCUUAUGCUCUCCCAUGUGGCUUGCUUCAACCCUUAGAUAGUCCUAAAAAAUCCUGGGUCAGUAUAGCCAUGGACUUCAUUGUCAUUGACCGGUCAAAGUGACGCAUUUCAUCAAAGUGGCGCAUUUCGUAAUUCUGGCGAAGUUACCCACAAGAUCUUUGCCAGUGAAAUAUUCCCGAUCUAUGGAAUACCUGGAGAAAUUAUAUCUGACAGGGGUUCGCAGUUUAACAAAAAAACCUGCACACUGGUUCCGCCUGCAAAUACCGGCCCUCUAUCGUGGAGGUGCUCUGUGUCAAAGGUGAACAACGCUGAAUCCACCAAAAUACUCAAAAAGGCAGAAGAACAGAGGCAACACUCUAUGAUCAAGAAGGUAAGUUUAUUUCUGGAUACACCACCUCAUAAAGUGCAAAGUACAACGUUUCGGCUCAACAGAGCCUUAAUCAUGCAGUUUAUCUCUAAAUAUUGGAGGGUUUUCUGUAAACAAUUGGGUAUAACUCUCAGUUUUUCUUCAGCUUAUCAUCCCCAAUCUAAUGGGGCAGCAGAACGUACUAAUCAGAAGAUCGAGCAAUACCUUUGAUGUUUUGUAUCUGCUCAUUAGGAUGACUGGGUUGGCUUGCUUCCUUGGGCUGAGUUUGCACACAACAGCUUAGUUUCCGAUGUUACGCAACUCAGCCCAUUCUUCUUAAAUGAUGGUUUUCAUCCAGUUGUUCUCCCAUCCGCGUUUUUAUCGCAGGGAAUGCCGAUUGUUGAUGUACACCUUGAAAGCAAGCUCAAUAUCUCCUCUCUAGCAAAUAGAACCUCGAUAAAAAAACAUGCUGAUAAGCGGAGACGUGCAGCCCCUGUAUUUCAACUGGGUGAUAAGGUCUGGUUAAGCACAAAACAUAUCUGCCAGAAGGUAGCUUCUAUGAAACUGGCACCUAGGUUUAUUGGCCCUUAUAAUUUGGUAGCCAUAUUAACCCUGUUGCUUAUCAUCUUGAUUUACCCCUGACCUUUCAAAUCCCUAAGGUGUUUCAUGUCUCUUUAUUAAAGCCUCUGACCUGUAAUAGGUUUACCAGUCAUAUUGUUGCCCCUUCAUCAGUGCAAGUGGAGGGUAGGAUGGAAUACGAUAUCCGAUCUCUUCUUGAUUCUCCUUUCUCUCAUGGUAAAUUGCAAUAUGUGGUGGAUUGGAAAGGCUAUGGUCCUGAAGACGUCUUGAGUUGACAGUUACGAUGUCCAUGCUCCUCGUCUUCUCCGUUCUUUCCGUUCCCGUUUUCCAUCUCGUUCGGGGCCCUUCCGCCUGGUGGGUGGUUCUGGAAAGGGGGGUUCUGUCUGGGUGCCUUCUGUGAUGACCAGGGAUGUCCCCCAUUGUACUCACCUCUUACAGGAGGAGAAGGAUCUUCUCCAGCAUCCCUCUUCUUUCAGGCAGGCUGCGAUAGCCCGCUCCGUUUUAUGAUGCGGUGCGAUUGCGUCGACGUCAUGAUGCUAAUGACGUCAUGUCCUGCCAAAAUGUACUCCUUUGACCCAGCUUUAGUAUUCUUGUUUACCUUGAUUUCUGUACUUCUUGACCUCGGCUUGACUCUGACUAGUCUUUGUUCUUCUAACAUUAGUCCGGCCAUUCUAAGGUCCGGUAUACGUUACCUUUUGUCUACAUUCUACGUGUUGCAUCCCAUUCCAUUCCUGACAAAUAGUGGCAUGGUAGGGAUGAGUAUGACAGGAUUAAAGGGGUUAAUGUGACAGGGUAAGUGUGGCAUAAUUGUGGGGCUGUAAGUAUCACAGGGUUAGUGUGAAGGGUGAAUGUGGCAUGGUUGGAGGAGGGAGUGUGACAGGAUUAAGGGAAGGUUAAUGUGACCGUGGGAGUGUGGCAGAGUGUGAUGGGAUUAGAGGCAUUAAUGUGACAGGAUAAGUGUGGCAGGGUUGGGGGGAGAGUGUGACAGAGUGAGAGAAGGUGAAUUUAGAAUUAGGGGGUUAAUUUGACUGGGUGAGUGUGGCAGAGCGAGGGAAGGUGCGGGUGUGACAGGAUUAGGAGUGGUUAAUGUGAGUGUGGAUAGGUGAGGGGGCUAAAAAAUGGGGGGUGACAGUGUGUGAGUGGUGACAAUGUGUGGGGAGGCUGACAGUGUGUGAGAGUAUGGUGCCACCACAUUGUGGGGGAUGACUGUGCGUGUGAGGCAGGGUGACAUUGUGUGUGUGUGGGGGGGGUGACCCUGUGAAGGACAGUGGGUGAUCCUGUAAGGGACAGUGGGUGACCCCUUGAGGGACAGUGGGUAACCUUAUGUUGGACAUGGGUGAAACUGUAUCACUGUAUGGGAUGAGGGUGACACUGUGUGGGAUGGGAGUGACACUCUGUGAGAUGGGGGUGACACUGUAAGGAAGGGAGUGACACUCUGUGAGAUGGGGGUGACACUGUGAGGAAGGGGAGUGCUAUAGUGAGGGAGGGGAGUGUUAGUGUGAGGGAGGUGGGUCUUAGUGUGAGGGAGGUGGGUGAUCGUGUGUGGGAGGGGGUAAAACUGUGAGAGAGUGUGUAAUACUGUGGGGGGAGUAGGGUGAUGGUCUGGGAGAGGGGUUAAUACUGUGAGGGAGGGUGUAAUACUGUAAGUAAGGGAGAUGUAUAAGAGGGUGCGAUAUGUGGGGGGUGGGAUAUUGUGAAGGAGGUGAUAAUAGAGUGGGGGGAUACUGGGAGGGAGAGGGUAAUACUUUGAAGGAGUAGUUCCUGAGAGGGAGGGGUUAUAAUGUGAGGGGGAUAUUAGAAGGGAGGGGUUGAUGGUGUGAGGAAGGGGGUGAUGGUGUGAGGGAGGGGAGAUGAUACUGUGGGGAGGGGGGUAAUGCUGUGAAGGGGUAUUCUGCGGAGGGGAUACUGGGAGGCACGGGGUUAAUACUGGGAGGGAGGUGGGUAAUAUUAUGGGGGUGGGAUACUGGGAGGGAGUUGGUGAUAAUGUGAAGGAGGGGAAAACUGUGAGGGAGGGGGGAGAUAGUGUAAAAGAGGGGGGAUACUGGGAGGAAAUGGAUUGAAAAUAUAAAAGAGGGAGGGAUUGAAAGUGAAAACGGGGGGAAUGGGAGGGAGGGGGUUAAAGGUGGGAAAGAGGGGGUACUGGGAGGGAGGGGGUUGAAGGUGUGAAAGAGCGGGUACUGGGAAGGAUGGGGUUAAAGGUGUGAAAGAGGGGGGAUUACUGGGAGAGGGAGGGGAGAAAAAGAGGGGGAUACCGGGAGGAAAUGAUUGAAAAUAUAAAGAGGAGGGAUUAAGUGAAAACGGGGAAUGGGAGGAGGGGGCUAAAGGUGGGAAGAGGGGGCACUGAGGAGGGGUUGAAGGUGAAAGAGCCGGGUACCAAGGAUGGGGUUAAAGGUGAAAGAGGGGGAUACUGGGAGGGAGGGUUUGAAGGCUGCAGGGGGGAUACUGGGAGGGGAUGGGGUUAGCAGAAAGAAGGGGAGAUACUGGGAGGAUGAUGGGGAGAGGGUGAUAGAAUGAAAGUGUGGGAUACUGGGAGGGGGUGAAUGUGUUAAGGAGGGGAGAAACUGGGAGGGAAGGGGUGAUAGAGUGAAAGAGGGGGGAUACUGGGAGGGGGUGAAGGUGUGAGGGAGGGGGGUGUUGGUGUGGAAGGGGGAGUGUACUGGGAGGGAAGGGGGUGAUUAAAUACCAUUUUUUCCCCUGGUGGUCCAGUGUGGGCUCCCAGGCGGUCCAGUGUUCAGGAUAUCCGGUCUGCAGCUCCGCAGUGUGCAGAGCUGCAGACCAUGUAUCUUGCGAGACCUGCGAUGGGUGCUCUCUGGCUGGGCCAGGCAGGCUGGAGGGACCUCGCACCCGGCGACAUACUGAGCAAGCCGCCGGGUCCCCUUCUGGUGUCGGGUCCUCGGUCAUUAACCAAGAACCCAACACAGUCUGCCCUGAGGCGGUUCAGGCAGCCCAAAGGCCCCAAAUAGCGCGUGGCCAUAGGCAGCCGCCUAAGCCGCCUAAUUAGAGUCAAAAUGUUUAAGAGGUUCUAUAAUUGUGAGCAUUUUUUAUUUUUACUUAACUUUGCUGAUUUACACAACAAUAUUUUACUAUUAUAUAUUUCUUUGUUUGUCUCCAUUUAUAUACUAACAUUCAUGCUGCAUAACCUGAUAACCUUACCUGAUGGUAAGCUUUGAUUUGUUAGCAUGAAGUGCCGAAGUUGCCGAAGUUCAGAAGUGUCAAAGUGCUGAAGUGCCGAAGUUUCGAAGCACAGUUUUGCCUAAGUACUAAUAUACUUACCCAGUGGAAGAAUGAAAAAUGUUACACUGUAUACAAGUUUAAAUAAAAAGUAUACAAACAUAGCCAGGAUUCAGCUGUAAGCAUUUGCAACACUUACACUUACCGUGGGAAUUAGAGAGUUAUCUACUAAGCGACUGCAAGAGAAGUCCCGAAAUGCCGAAGUUCCGAAAUUCCAAAAUGCCGAAGUUCCGAAAUUCCAAAGUGCCGAAGUUCCGAAGUUGCUGAAGUGCCGAACCGAACCGAAGUGCCGAAGCUCCCCAUGCACAUGCCUAGAGGUGGGUAAUAUCAUCUAAAUCAUAUAAAGCACUUGUGUUUGUUCACUGUUUAAAGGACCACUAUAGGCACCCAGACCACUUCAGCUCAAUUAAGUGGUCUGGGUGCCAGGUCCAUCUAGGGUUAACCCUGCGUGCUGUGAACAUAGCAGUUUCAGAGAAACUGCUAUGUUUACAUAUGGGUUAAUCCAACCUCUGGUGGCUGUCUCAUUGCAUUGCGUUGAUCAUUUGGUGGAAGAGGGAGGAGAGUCCCCAGCGCAGAGGGAGCCAGGUGCUGGAGAAAGGUAAGUGUUUAACCUCUUCCUCCCACGUCAGCCCAGCGGGAGGGGGGCCAUGGGGGGGGGGAAGCUAUUAAUACUAUAGUGCCAGGAAAACGAGUUUGUUUUCCUGGCACUAUAGUGGUCCUUUAAUUUAUAAAAGUGUUAAUUUCCACUGAAAUAUGCACUGUUUUCAAAAUGAAAAAAAGGGGACACACUCUUUACACAAAAAACUGUAGUGGUUUGGGGCGUGGGCAAGGGCUGUGGUGGAGAACCAGGGACUGUAGAGGGGGGAAAGGGCAGUAGUGGGGGGGACAGAGGCUCUAGUGGGGGGGCAUGCGCUGUAGAGGUGGAGCAGGGGUUCUUAAGUGGGCAGGGGCUGUAGUGAGGGAAUAGAAGCUAUAGAGGUAAAACUGCAGCUGUUGUGCAGGGGACAUGAUCUAUAGAAGGGGACAGGAACUGUAGAGAGAGGCACAGGGGCUGUAGAGGGGGGCAGGGCCUGUGGUGGGGGAGGGCAGGAGCUAUGGGAGAGGGGAGGAACAGGGAGGAACUAUAGUGGUGGGAUAGGGCUGUAGAGGUGAGACAGGAGCUGUACUGGUUGGACUGGAGCUGUAGAGGAGGAUACAUGGGCUGUAGAGGGAAGGACAAGGGCUGUAAUGGGGGGACAGGGGCUGUGGGUGAAGGACAGGAGCUGUAGAGGGGGGACAGGGACUGCUUGAAAAAGUUAAAAUAACAAACAUGUAUUCCCCCCCUCCCUGAGGCUUACCUUGGGCCAAGAAGGGUGAAAACUUAUCCCUGGUGGUGAGAUAGGAGCUGAAGCCUGGAGAUCAAGACAGGUCCGCUAGGGAGUCUGGAGUAGAACACUAGUAGUCAUGCCCUCCUCCUGACAUCUUCAGAAGAGGCCAGCCGACUUUACUGCCAAGCUGAUGUCUGAGAGUGAGAUAGGUUGCAGUGAUUUGAAAAAUUAGAGUCCUAGGCCAGAGGCAGGGAAAUCUGAUAUUUGCACAGGCCUGCUCUGGCGCCCUAGGGUGGCAACCUGUGCCACCUUAUGAACGUGCCGGCACUGGUCACAGACAUUGGAUGUGUGGCUAGGGCUGCAUAAACAGAAACAGAAAGGGAUUUAACUCAUAAAUGGCAGAUAAAUAAGCAGUAAGAUUGCAGGGGCAUGAUCCAUACACAAAAACUGCUUUAUUAAGUUGUAUUGGUGACUAUAGUAUCCCUUUUAUUACUGUGUGCUUUGAAAAAUAUAUAUUGGGUCCUGCAUCUAUCUGCAUCUAUUGCAAAACACAAGGUAAUACUUUAUAAAAUGCACUUUAUUUUACAUUUCUCCGUGAAGAGCAGUCUGCAUACAAAGGUGUUGUUUUGUCCCUAUUUAAUGAAAUAUUUGUGCAUCCCAUGUUUCAAAUAAAUCUUACAUUUCAAUUUCAAUAACCACACAAUCCAUGGUACUCAUGUUCUUUAUUUACAACGUGCUCGCGGUAAUACGGUUAAUAAUAUCACAUUUUCAUGGUCAGCCUAUCUUCUUGUUGUAAUUAAUCCAAAUCAUCAUUUAUCAAGGCUUGUUACAAGGAAUCACAAAAGAUAUCUUCGGUCCAAAGAAUAUAUCUCUAAAAAGAAAAGGCAAAAAACCUUCAAUAAACAAUACAGAAAUAAAUGUAACUAAAAAAAAAUAAAAAUGUUUCUUGAAUGAUUAUUCUAAAUGUUAUUCACAGUGUCCAUGAUUUAUCAUAGAAUUGUAUUAAUGUUAGUAAUUCUGAGCAGAGGAAUUACAGAGUUUAGUACUUUAGAGUAUAAGGAAAUAUACAUGGAUAUUCUCAAUCUGUUGGUUAAAGAAAUAGAACAGAGCUUGCAUUGUUAGUGUAUACUGACUCUCCUCUGCUGCUUUCACAGCCAAAAGGCCUGGUUACAAUUGGCAGGAAAAUCCAGAGGUCUCUGAGAAACAUAUUUUCCUGCUCCAGUAUCAGAAUAGCAUAAUCUAACCAACCAAUUAAAGGGACACUAAAAGCACCCUGACCACAUCACCUAUUUGAAGCUGUCUGGGUGCAAUGUCCCUGUCCCCUUCGCCCUGCAGCUGCAAACAUUACAGGUUUAAGACUGUCUCUAGAGCCUGUCUACCAAACAGCCACUAUAGGUGCUUCCUGACCUUUCACAGAGUUUCAUUGUCACUGGAUGUCCUCAAGCUUUGCAUGAGGACAUCCAGCGUUUUCUAAAAAUCAGCAUCUUCUGAAAUCUACACUUAAAAUUUUUUUAGGGGUCGGAAGUGUUAACUUUUUUUUUUGUUCUCCCUUUCCUGUUAAAUGUAUAUUAAAGAUUUAGCAGUUUGGCAUCACAGCUCAGUUUAGUCCUGGCAUGGCCAGGGCACACUAUGCAUUAGGGAAGGAGUAGCAGAAACAUUGGGGGAGAUUUACCAAAAUAUUCAGAAAAGUGUGUCUUUAUAUUUGGUCCCUAAUCUAUAACACUAUAUUUGUAUGCUAUUAUUAUUUUUUACCCAUUGGUCCCUAAUCUGUUUGUAUUUAUUAAAUUUUUUUUAAAAAUGGUAUAAAAUUCUUUAAUCUAAUCUGUACCUAAAUUCCACAAUUUUCGCACAAAAGUCUAUUUUUAAAGAAAUUCUGACAAGUUUAGAGUGUUGGAAAUCAGCGAAGUGAAACAGAAAACUUUUCUGGCAAGAAAAGUGGGGAAAAUAUUGAUGAAUAGUGAUGUCCCGAACGGUUUGCCGAACCGUUCGCGAACGGUUCGCCACGAACGGUUCGCCACGGACUCAUCAUUGAGUAAACUUUGACCCUGUACCUCACAGUCAGCAGACACAUUCCAGCCAAUCAGCAGCAGACCCUCCCUCCCAGACCCUCCCACCUCCUGGACAGCAUCCAUUUUGAAGCUGCAUUCUUAGUGAGCUGUCCAGGAGGUGAGAGGGUCUGGGAGGGAGGGUCUGCUGCUGAUUGGCUGGAAUGUGUCUGCUGACUGUGAGGUACAGGGUCAAAGUUUACUCAAUGAUGAGUCCGUGGCGAACCGUUCAUGGCGAACCGUUCAUGGCGAACCAUUCGUGGUGAACCGUUCAUGGCGAACCGUUUGUGGCGAACCGUUCGGGACAUCACUAUUGAUGAAUCAUCUGUUGUGUGUCUGAUAAAAUGACAUAUAUUAAAAAAAAUUACAACUAAGGCUUAAAGAAGGAACUAAAUUGUAAAAAAAUAAUAAUCUGAUUUAAUAAAUGAAUAAAACAGAGAUAAGGGCCAAAACAAGGUGCAAACUGUCUGCGGCCCUUUGAUAAAUCACCCCUGUUGUAUCUGCUUAUCCUCCUUCUUCCAUUAAUGACAGAAAAUGGCAUAACUUAUAACACCGAUUAACAAGGAAACAGAUGGAGGUGCUCUGUUAAUUGAUAAGUCAGUGGUGCAGAUAUCUAAAUUUAAUUAAGUUUUUUCAGACCUCAAACACGUAUUUGUUAAAUAUAGGGAAUAACUAACCAUAUCAUACCAUACCCUAUAUCUACAUCCUUAAAAGUAACAGUUACCCUUUUGGGCAAUGAAUCUGGCUUUCUCUUUAACAUAUCUUUUCAAUAUGAAAACACAAUAUGCAUAGGUAGCACUUUUUAUAUUUUUACUGCUCUGAGUUCAAAAUGUAUCUUAUGCUAAAUGAAAGAAUUCAUUAAAACACGAGACAAACAUUAUUACAGCAUUUAGUAAAAGAAUGGCAGAUCAUUUUCGUAAAAUGCAUGUCAUCUUGCAAAAUCAUAUUUGUGUCCUCAGUCGGAUAAAAUUUAUUUAAAUACUUUGGCACCUAUAAAAUUAUAUUCUUAUGAAGCAGUCAAAUGUUACCAGAGCUAUCAAAAAGAAUAUUUUAAGUAACAUUAUAUCCUGUCUGAUGAAAAGAACUGUGCAAAAUUAGAUUUAAGAUUUGUGACGACGUUCUGAAUAUUUUGCCAUUAUGAAUUUGCCUCUGAAAAUAGAAGAAUAAACUAUUUCAGAGAGAAAUGCGGGAAUAGUUAUUACCAGUAAGGAGUUAUGCUUUGCACCGUCUGGGGAUGCAUAAUAUGUUUAAGUAAUGUUACUUUUCAGCCUGUUACAUUUAUUCACCCUUGUUUAGAACUGGUUGUAUUUAUUAUCAGAAAUAUUUUAUUGUUGUAAGUAAAAUAGUAAAAUAUAAAGUAAAAUAUGAAGAAAGCAAGAGAGAAAAUAGGUUAAUUGAGUCUUCCUGUCAGGGUCUACUUCCCAACACUGUCCCCCUGAUUUUUGUCAAACAGCAGGCUACCCAUAUCCCCAGAAACUGCUCCAUCUUCAGCUGCACUGAUUAUUAUUAUUGCCAUUUAUAUAGUGCCAACAGAUUCCAUAGCGCGUUACAAUAUUAUGAGAGGGAGGAUUUAACUAUAAAUAGGACAAUUACAAGAAAACUUACAGGAACAAUAGGUUGAAGAGGACCCUGCUCAAAUGAGCUUACAGUCUAUAGGAGGUGGGGUAUAAAACACAUUAGGACAGGAAAUAUCAAUCAAAUGAGGUAGGAGUGAAGCAGGGCUGGAGGAGAGAGUAAACUGCUGCCCUAUAGGAAAGAGCAAGAGACAGGUGUGUAAGGUAGAGGUUACUCUGAGAGGCCAUAAGUUUUUCUAAAGAGAUGGGUUUUAAGGCACUUCUUAAAGGAUUGAAGACUAGGGGAGAGUCUGAUGGGGGUAGGCAGGCUAUUCCAUAGGAAGGGAGCCGCCUGCGAGAAGUCCUGCAAGCGCGAGUUGGCUGUACGGGUGUGAGCAGCAGUCAGGAGGUGGUCACAGGCAGAGUGGAGGGAACGAGGAGGGGUAUACCUAUGGAUCUGUGAAGAGAUAUAAGAGGGGCUAGAAUUGUUCAGGGGUUUAUAUGUAUGUGUUAGCACUUUGAAUUGACUCCUAUAGGAUACAGGAAGCCAAUGAUAAUACAGAGUUUACACUUCUACAUCAGCAAUGUCAAUUUCAGCCAACCUGAAUGAUGGUUGUAGGUUGAGAAUGCUGGGUGUAGGUUUAGCACACCACUUUGAACCAAUCACCACCAUGAUAGCUCAGCAUGGUGGUGGUGAGAGCAAUGGCUGCUGUGUUAGUCACAGGGGCACUGUGAUUUGAGUUUACUGAUUGGUUGUUAGGGAUGUUAGAGCUAAAUUGAUAAUUAAAAUCAUUCUUUUAUAAGACAGUGUGAUUAUUUUCUGAUGUAUGGGCAGCUGUCUCAUCUAAUGAGGAAUCAAAGACUUGUGUGACAAAGUGGAAGUAUGUAUAUAUGCAUGAUAUAACCUUACCAAUAGGUCAUAGAUAUAAUCAUUAGUUCUGAAAUAUGCUCUAGCAGUCACAGUUUGCUGCAGGCCUGUUGUGCAUCAUUAUAGCCAUUAUGAAUAACCUGAAAAAUGUUUUACUGUUGCUAUCACAACUGAAACAACUACUUCCUAAGAAUAAAAUGUUAAAAAGUAACUGGCGGACAAAUUAAAGAUAUUUUAACAAAAGAAAAAUAAACAAUUAGUCAUUCUUACUUUGGACAGCAGAGCAAUUCAUUAAAAUUACAGUAACAGACCAUCUCACAUCUGUUCCCUUCCCAAAACAGGUCCUGGAGAUUUUCAUCCAGGGAUCUAAGAUGGUCCAGUCCCUCUGGGAUGUUAUGACAAUUUCGAUCCCUCAGGAUUUUCUUGUAACAGGAAAGUCGACCAGUGGGGGUUGAAAUUACUCCCAAGACGGCAACCAUGAAAACAACAACCUGUACAAUCUUCAUAUUUCCCUGUAUAUAAAAUGUUUUAUCUGAAAAAAAAAAAUUAAUUAUUCACUGUAAGGGCUUUAGAUAACUUCACUUAUUUUGGACAUUUAGAAGAAGUAUGCACUUUACAUUUGAUUACAUUUUAUAUAUUAUGUUGCAAUUUAAUGUAUACAUCUCUUUAAAUAGACACAAUUACUUUCUUAGUACUUUAUUGGUCCUGACAUCAAUUUAGGCCAGCCGCAGGACUGCACGUGCAAGUCACUUGAUACACUACAUAUACUGAAACAGGUAUUUUGUUAAGAAGAUUCUCACAUUUAUUGAAAAUUUCUAGUGUCCAAAGUAAAAAAUUAUAUAUAAUCACUUACAUGACUAAAGUUUUGUGCAAAUGUCAUGUGUCAGUGAUUUUUGUAUUAAAACUUGCAAUAAGGGGGCGUGGCCUGACCGGGUAUGGAGUGAGACGCAUCUCCCUGCAGCUCCUAGGCCCCAGCUCACUACGGCACCGAUAAACGAGCACGAAUUGACCCUAGAUGGGUAAGACAAAGAGGCUACUCACCCCUGGCCCCUCACAAAUGGGCUCACCGAGCCGCACAGCGGGUCCCAUGGACGGGUACCUCGGAACGCCGCGAGACAUGCGGGCGCACCAGGCCGCGGCCAAAAUGGCGCCGCCCUCACCGGACGCCAGCAGCUCAGACAGCCCAGCAACAGGCCCAGUCAGAGAGGAGUCACUGACCCAAAUUGCAGCAGACUUGGCCACAAUAUCUGCGAACAUGAUGUCCAGGGCAGAUAAGACGGACCUGCUCGCUGAAAUUAGGGCAGUAAUCAGAGAGGAGGUCAUGGAGGUGAGGAGAGACCUGACAGCACUAGAACGCAGAGUGGAGGAACUAGAGGCAGAACGUGCCCAAAUAAUACAACACCGCCAAGCCACAGACACAGCCACUACUAGACAAGGCAAUGUCCUGCUGGAGUUAAGAAGGAAUCUGGAAGAUUUGGACAACCGCGGACGGAGGAACAACAUCCGCGUCAGGGGACUCCCUGAAUCAGCAGGGGAAGCACUACCAGAGCUCCUGCUGGGCCUGUUCACACACAUACUAGGGGACAGAGCCCCGGCAGACUUUGGAAUAGAACGUGCACACAGAGCCCUGCGCCCCGUGACCGCUGAGGGACCGCCUAGAGACGUAAUCUGCUACCUGCUCUCCUACUCGUUAAAGGACGAAAUCAUGAGGGAAGCAAGAAAUCAGAAGAACCUCACCUACAUGGACGCCCAGAUUUCCCUAUAUCAGGAUCUCUCAGUACUCACCCUGGAAGCGAGAAGGGCACUGAGACCGCUAACCACCCUGCUUAGAGAGCGGCGGAUACAAUACAAAUGGGGAUUCCCCUUUAGCUUACAGGCAAAGGUGAGCAACAUAUGGCAUAUCAUACGCUGGCCAGCAGACGUGCCACGCUUCCUCCGAGCCGCGAACCUCCCAGCAGUGACAGUCCCAAAUUGGGUCCUGGAGAGACAGCCGCAACGCCCAAACGCUCCAAAUAUCAGGCCGGGUACGGGCCUUACAGGAGCUGGGUUCCGCAGAGGCGGCCCGGAUAGCCAUGAAGAAUAGCAGAUUCAAGAGCCCUGGAGGGCAGCGACCGGCGCACCCACCGACGGAGGUACACCCCAGUUUUCACACCCCCAUUUAACUCCAGAAACCACGCCGCAGGGAGACAGACUACCGGACCGCUCCCCCAAGGUUGAUGCGGAGAACAACCUCCGUAAGCAGAAGCUGACACACCGCUGGGUAUGUACUUACACCCCUACCCUGGGCCCGUAGCAGUUACGCACAAGUCAGAGUUGCUGGGACUUGAGACAAUGGAGUGCCACAUUUUUUUUUUGGGGUGGUGGGAUCUGUGGGGAUCGGGUACCACCCGGGGACGAUGACGACAUGGAGGGGGUCCCCCCAGAUUUAUAAAGACUCGGGCUCCGGCCCAUAGAAUCCCCCCUUUGGGUGGUUGGGGUAGGGGGGAGGCAUUGGCGGACUCCAACUACCUGAGUGGCACCCCAAGAUAAAGUCUGGACAGUCCCAUGAUGUCCCAGAGGGUCCCGAGAUUCAAGCUCCGCCCAUCCCCCGAAGGGACUAGCAAGCCAACUAGCAGGAGAGGACACCCAGCUGGAAUAGGGAGAAGAGGAGGGGGGUGUGGUCCCUAGGGAGGGGGGAGCGGGGAAUGUCAGAGGCGGUGGUUUGGUCUUUACAGUUGUACUUGUUAUUGUUGUUGAUAAAGUUCACAUGCUCCAUACCAUUCCUAGAGGGGCACACACCUACACAAGGGGGCUGGUAACACACCUGAGCCCAAGGGGCCGGGGAGGUUAGGCCGGGGCGGGGACACCCUGAGAGGCCGGACCCGUUAGGUAGCUACAGGGCCCGAAUACUGACUAGACACGCAUUACUUAGACCCUCAAGAACAGAGAGGAAAAUGGACAAUGGGGGGGGUACCCUCGUACUACUUCACCAUACCCGCAGGGAAAAUUCCAAUUAAACAAAACCAGUGGGCUGGGUGCCGUGAGAGCAGUGCGAUUCAUACGACGGUUCACCCCAGAACGGACGACCCCCGUACCUCACGUGACGGACUCACACUGUACAAACCCUCGGGGGCUACUCUGGUGACAUACCUCGAAGGGAAUAGACACCGGGGGGCGACUGACCCCGAGGCGAGUCGUAGUCACCUAUACCCCGACCCACUAACCUUCCCUGACUUUGACUGGACUACUCUACUUCCCCCCCCCGAACCUCACCCCGUGAUAUUCUGACAUACCCAUACCCCUCCCCACGAACAGCUAGGGAGGGGCACUAACUAUGUGCCGGCACCGCUUAACCUGUGGUCGAACAACGUUAGAGGUCUAAACGUACCCGCGGUCUCAGCUACUCAGUACUCUCUGGGCGGAACGCAUCUCGGUGGCGUUUUUGCAGGAAACGCAUCUUAAAGGCGUGGAGGCCCCCACCCUGAAAAACAGAAGGUUCCCCACAGGCUAUUACUCCAACCAUGCCGACCAAAAAAAAGCGGGGGUGGCGAUCCUCUUUUCACAUACGGUCCCGUUCAUAUGCACAGAGCAACGAAUAGAUCCAGGGGGUAGAUACUUAUUCAUCAAAGGAACCAUAGCACAACACCCUUACACAUUCGCAUGCCUGUAUACCCCGAACCGUAACCAACAUGUCUUCCUAAAUAAAACACUCACUUUGCUCAACAAGUUCAGAGAGGGCUUACUAAUUAUGGCAGGAGAUCUUAACACUCCGUUAGACGCCAGAUUAGACACCUCAAGGGGAGAAAGCUCAAUACCAGGUCAUUGCAUACGCGCAGUCGGGAGAGCUCUGACAAGGAGUGGAUUGGUGGAUUGCUGGAGGGUGGCGCAUCCUGACGGCAGGGACUAUUCCUAUUACUCAGCUGUACAUCAGAGAUACAGUCGGAUUGACUAUAUCUUUAUGGCACAGGAAGCCCUGACAUUAGUCCGCAAGGCUAGCAUAGGCCCGAUUGCGGAGUCCGAUCAUGCCCCGGUCUCAGUCCAGAUCCAAUCCCCACUACACAAACCAGCGGAAAGGCACUGGAAGCUAAAUGAGAAUAUGCUGCUUAACCUGGGUGACACUGACCCAGUUAGGCAAACUCUAACACAAUACUUCGACACUAACACAACCCCCGAUGUCUCGCCCUUGCCGGUGUGGGAAGCACAUAAGUGUGUAGUACGGGGACACUAUAUUAAGGUCUGUUCGCAAUGGAAGAAAGAACAUACACGACAGCUGACAACAUUAAACACUCAAAUAGCCAACCUAGAGCAAGCUCAUAAACAAAGUCAGAACGAGGACACGUUCCUCCAUCUAACAGCGCUCCGGAGACAGAGAAGGGACAUAUUAGCUCAGGGUCUCCUACGCACCCUUAGAAAAUCGGCCCGGUUCUUUUUUGAACACUCGGACAAAAGUGGCAGACUGCUAGCCCGCCAGCUCCGUGAUCGUCGGAUGGCGAGCCACAUACACAAAAUUAAGCCCAGUGACAAAGCUGAAACCCGAAUGCCGGACGGAAUUCAGCGUUCGUUCGUAGACUACUACACGGACCUAUACAAUAUCCCCCAACCCAACACUGACGCUGCCCGUGCACGACAGACCUGCCAAAUUACUGAAUUCCUGGAACAAAAUAUAGAUAACAAGCUGACCGCGGAAAUGCGGGACGACUUAGACCAACCCCUCACUGUGGAGGAGCUGGCGGCGGCCCUGAAAAUCUCCAAAUCCCAUAAGGCCCCAGGACCUGACGGACUGCCCCUGAUGUACUUACGUACGUUCAAGGACAUCUUAUUACCAAAUCUCUUACUGGGCCUCAACUCCAUACUGGAGGGGGGCGCUUCCCCUCAGACACGUUAGCAGCCAUAGUUACUGUAAUACCAAAAGAGGGCAAGGACCCGACGAACUGCGCGAGCUGCCGCCCCAUAUCGCUACUAAACGCAGACCUGAAACUAUUCGCAAAAGCCAUUGCCCUGAGAGUUGCAAAACACCUCCCCCACUUGGUACAUUCGGAUCAGGUUGGGUUUAUCCCGGGCAGGGAAGGGAGAGACAACACGAUUAAGGCCCUGAACAUCCUACACAUAGCACGAGCGCGCCGUAGAGAACUUCUACUACUUUCCACCGAUGCCGAAAAGGCUUUUGACAGGGUGAGCUGGGCGUAUCUGAGGAGUACCCUUACACACAUGGGAUUCGGCCCCAACAUACUGGCCUGGGUGCUCUCACUGUACACGUGCCCCACUGCGAAGAUCCGCAUUAACGGGGCACUAUCAGCCCCUUUCCCAAUCAGGAAUGGCACCCGCCAGGGAUGCCCGCUUUCCCCCCUCCUGUUUGCCCUCUCCCUGGAACCAUUUCUGGGGGCGGUCAGACGGAAUGGGGGAAUCUCUGGAUUCGGCCUUGGUCGUCACGAAUACCGGGUAGCCGCAUAUGCAGACGAUAUGCUGUUCUUUCUUACACAGCCGUUGAUCUCACUGCCCAACCUCCUAGCAUCUUUCCGAGAGUUUGGGGCACUCUCUAAUCUUAAACUCAAUACGGAUAAGUCCGAGGCCCUCCACCUCCCACCCCCUACAGGCCCCCCCAACACACCUUCACACCCAAUACAAGUUUAAAUGGUGCGAAACUAAAUUAAAAUAUUUGGGCAUAUGGCUGACCAAGAACCCGUCCCAAUUAUACCACCAUAACUAUCACCCACUCCUACUCUCACUUCAGACGGACCUUAAGAAAUGGACCCCAUAUUACAUCUCCUGGUUCGGACGUAUCAACGCGAUUAAAAUGAACGUGUUACCCAGGAUACUUUACCUAUUCCAAACAGUGCCAAUUACUCUCCCCAGAGCCUUUUUUAGCUCUAUGACGACUGCCAUCCGCAGAUUCGUUUGGAACUCUCGCCCAACCCGAAUUAAAAAAUCAACCCUGGAACUACCAAAAUAUUACCGCGCCGCACACCUGCACAGACUGACGGACUGGCACGCACAACACCCAUUAAAACAAUGGGUGACCAUUGAGCUAGAACAAACUGAUAGAAAAAUACCCUCUAGGCUUUGGUUACACACUGCCACAUACUCCGACCUGCACACCGAGAACCCACUAAUCAACGCCACGCUCCGAGUGUGGAUGGCUAUACGCUACCGACUGCAACUCACAAGCUCCCCUAGCCCCUUAACACCCAUCACGCAUAACCCAGACCUGGCCGAUGCUCUAACCCCACAAGACCUAGCCGGCCUCCAGCAGGCAGACUGGAUACACCUACACCAAUGGCUCGACACUCAGGGACUUAAACCACUCAGAAACCUCUGCCCCGAUAGACCACCGACGAUACUCGAACAAUUCAGAUACCACCAAGUUAAGACGUACUUCUUAUCCUUACAUGGUCGAGGACACCUGACUAGACCCCUCACCAGCUUUGAACACCUGUGCGUACACCGAACACACGUACACAGAGGUAUCUCCUCUAUACAUACCAUACUCAAGACCCAAACUAACGAGGAUGUGGUGCUCAAAUUUAAGGAUCAUUGGGAGAGAGACUCGGGGGAAGUCCUUACUGUGCAAGACUGGGACAAGAUCUACACUCUCACACAUAAAUGCUCUAUCAGCUCCAGUACCAGGAGCUGAACUACAAAAUUUUAACACGCUGGUACAGAACCCCAGACGUACUCAAUCGCAUGAACGUGGGUGCCCCGGACACCUGCUGGAGAUGCGGCUUGCACACCGGCACGUACUUCCACAUCUGGUGGCAGUGCCCCGAGAUUACCACAUUCUGGGAGAGGAUCAGGGUAGAGAUAAACAGAAUCACAGGUGCGGAGCUACCCCUAGAACCCCUAACGAUGCUAUUACACCACACCCCCACACCCGUCAAGACAUAUAAGAAAUCCCUCUUGCUGCCACUACUCAACGCGGCAAAGGCCCUUAUCCCUGCAAUGUGGAAACAGAAGGGGGCGCCUACCCUCCAGCAAUGGGUGACAAGGGUGGAAGAGAUCCACUCAAUGGAAUCCUUAACUGCAGACCUCCACGGUAGACAGGAGCAAUGUGCACUGACCUGGUACCCUUGGGAAACAUACCUAGCCAACAGAUUAGCAAACCCAAACACGGCCGCCCAGAGGCCCGCAGUAAACCGACUCAUACAGAGCUAAGCCACCCAGCUACUCCUCCCACCUAGGUCCCCUACCUCCAGACCCUUUCCCGAGACUGGACAUUGGACUGAACCCCAACGAUAGACUCUGACGAGCUCGUAACUGGGGCUUAUCAAUACACACACCCACUGUAAUCACAGGUGCAAAAUACACAGGAAACCGAGACCCAACCUAGAGCUGAUACCGGCAUGAAAACAUCCCCUCCUGGCCACCUAGACUGAUACCUAGAGUAUCCUCCCAUAUGACAAACUAUACCGAUAGGCAUACAAAUAUAUACACCAACAACUGCCAACCCACAAUAGUGGGGAACUUAACCUAAACCAUCACACUUUGCUCUCACCCAGGCGACCAGUUGGCCUUGAAUGUUAAUAAGUGCUGAGUAGACUGGGGAGGAGUUAAGGCACUAAAGAUAUCUUUUCUCGCUACCGUGGCUCUAUACCAUGCCCAACAAUAUAUAUAUAUGUCAAGCGACAAAAAGUUCUCUGACACUGUUGGUAUGAAACGUGAAAUGAGUAAUAUAGCGUGUCAAAAAACUUACCCCCCACAGCAACCAGACUAGACACCGAUUCACACCCUAAACGUAGAGCGCACACCAUAGGUGCAACAAACUGCGCACUGUAGGCAAGUGGAGAUACGAGACUAGAAACCUGACCUUAAAUAAUUCUACCUAAUGCAUGUGAUGGAAACUAUAGAAAUAUUGUUUGAGAAAACUGUUUUGAGAAUGUUAAAACAAUGGCUACGAAUGUUGUUAAGCUAUUCAGAAAACUGAUGUUACAAUUGACAUUUUACCGUAACUACAUCUUUCCUUGAAAAAAUGAUAAAAAUCGAAAAUAAAGAUUGUCAAAAAAAAACUUGCAACAAUGGAAGGAUACAAUAACCUUAAGAAUAAGAGAAAGGUUUUUGAUUGGGAAGCUCUUGCAUAAAUUGAAAGGCACAAUCCCAUCAAAAGGACUGAAUUACAUUUGAUUUCACAAUGUUCAAAUAUAACCAACUUAAAUCAAGACAAUUAUAAUAUAUACUUUCUGUAUGGAUUGACAUAGUUGUGGACUAUUACCGCCACAACUAUGAUCCAUAGGCCAAUGUCAUAAGGAUAGCAGAUAAUCUAGAGAAACAAUUCUUACUUAAAGGGUUACUCUAACGACCAUGACUACUUCUGCUUUAGAGGUGGCCAUGGUGGUACUAAUCUGUAAAUGCAGAGUUUCUGUUUGAAAUGCUGAACAUACAGAAAUAUGUGCUCUUUUGUGUUGGGGCUAGUUGCACCCCGGGCACAUGCCAGCUAGACUCUGUUCCAAGCUGCAUAAUGUCAAUUAUGUGCAAAAAUUAUGUCUGUCUGAAUGCUGACGAAAGACCUAAUGAGCUUUUCCCCUCCCUGCCACUGUCAUCUUUUUUAUUUAUUAUGUCCACCCACUCCCCCUCCUACCGGACUCAGAAUGCACACAUGCGCUCUGAGCUGGAGAGAACAGUCCAGUCAAAUGCUUCUCUGUGACUGCCGUAUAAAGGGCUUAAAGGGACACUCCAGGCACCCAGACCACUUCUGCCCAUUGGAGUGGUCUGGGUGCCAACUCCCACUACCCUUAACCCUGCAACUGUAAUGAUUGCAGUUUUCAUAAACUGCAAUAUUUACCUUGCAGGGUUAACUCCUCCUCUAGUGGCUGCCUACUAGACAGCCACUAGAGGGCACUUUCGGGUUUAUAGCACACAUUUUGUAUGCUACAGCGUCGCUGGACGUCCUCAUGCUAUGUGAGGACCUCCAGCGUCGCUGAAAUCCCCAUAGGAAGGCAUUGAAAGCAUUUUCAAUGCUUUCCUAUGGGGAGGUUUAAUGAGCAUUAGGUCUCCCCCGCCACCGGCCGCACAUGCGCAAUAGGUCUCCCCCGCUGACGUCAGCAGGGGAGGAGCGUGGGCGGACAUCGGCGCUGGAUACAGGUAAGCCACUGAAGGGGUUUUAACCUCUUCAACAACUUGGGAUGGGAGGUGGGAGUGAGAGGGGACCUGCAGUGCCAGGAAAAUGGUUUGUUUUCCUGGCAUUGGAGAGUCCCUUUAAAUGUGAUGGAAAGAUGCCAGAUGAGCAGAGCCAUGGUCUGGAAGCCACAAAGAAGUCAGAGAGUAACCAAAUAGGUACUAAAUUGGUUAAUUAUGGUGAACUGUAGCUGAAGGAGAGCAGGUAACACAAGUGCAACAAAUUUGCUUGAGACUCAAUUGAGCACUGAUUAUCUAGUGACCUGGGUUUAAAUAGGGAUUAGUGGUGGAUGCUGGAAAUUAUUAAAUACUUUGUGGAAGAUUUUCUGAUAGCAACACAGUGCUUUGAUAAAAGCUGUCUGGUUUUUUUUUAGAAUUGACUUACAUUAAAGGGACAUUCUAGACCCCUAAAACACUUUAGCUUUCUGAAAUGCUUUAUGUGUGAAGAGUGUUUCCUCUUUUUUUCAUUUUACAAAAAGUGCAGAUUUCAAUAGAAAUUUACACUUUUAUAAUUUAAGCUUUCAAGGAUAUAGCCGGUCUUGUUACUUCCGGGUUUGCUUAUCUGAGUGGAGCUAAACUCAAAAGACAGCUAAUGCUUAGUGCACCUGCCUUGAAAAGACUUCAUAUUGAGCUGUAUUGGGAAGUCUGUGAUUGGACAGCCACAGAACGUCUGUGCAGGGUUAGAAGGGAAGAGCUUGCAAAUGCAGCAGACAAGAGAAUGGCAGGUGUUUUACAUUCUGGUUUUAGAUAUAACCCAAAUAGGAAUAAAUUCUCAACAAUAAAACUCAAAUGAAACAGAUUAUUGUGCAAUAUGUCACUUUAAGUGCUUAUCCUUCAUAAAUGUUUAAAAUGACUAACUCACACUUUUCUGAGCUAUUUAGAGCUCUGAUUUUUUUUCGCUUGGAUGGUACAAUCCCUGUCUCAGGAUGUAUGAAGAUCCUCCAGAUGGUGUACGGUAGUGUUCCAAUAUAUAAACAAUAAAACAGAAGUGGAAACUUUAAUGGUGUAGUAUGCCAAUCUCAGAAGUAACAAUAAAAAACUCAGUAUCCUACUUACAACUUAUAGAGCAAAAACUUGCUCUGGUGUUGUACAGCUUUGGUGGUAUAAUCCCCACCUGUGAUGUGCAGGAACCAGGAAAAGAGUCAGCAGCACAAAAUUAUAAAAUAGGACUUAAAAUAUAUUUAACAAAUUACUUUAUUAAGUUAAAAUAUAUUGUAAAAUCCAUAUGGAGCACAAUAUUGUCAAUAAAAAAACAAUAGGGGGCAGCAAUUUCACACUUAGCGUGUUUCUCCCAGCAGGGAUUCCUCAGAAAUGUGAUAAAUAUAUAUAUAUAAAUACAAGCAAGCUGCAAGGGAAUUUGUUUUAUAUGUUAGAUUUGUGUAGUUACCAGGAUUUAGGAUUAACAGUUAACCUUAAAUUUUGUUGAUAAUAGAAAUUCCCUUUUGCAUUAUUAGCUGUUGCAGGAUUUAUUGUUGACUGAAUUGUCAUGUUUUUUGUUCUAACCAGCAUUGACUUUAGUAGUGGAAGCUAUGACUGGACCAUUUUGUCUAAAUCUCUUUGAGUAGUGGAUCAGCCAAAUUCAAGGUUGACAGCCCGAACAGGGCUGGAGAACACUGAGGGGCCAAAUGUGCUGACCUAUACUAAGCAAUAAUGGGCUAGCAUACAGAUACUCUGUACAAGUCAAGCUGCUAUGGCUAUACAUUAUUCAUAUUUUUCUCUAGAGUGUUGCAUUAAUAGCAUUAAUGACUCUCUGUACAGCGGUAGAGCAGCAUAGCAAUCAAAUAUGAAAUACAUUAAUAACAAAUAUGUAGUGAUUAUAAUUUAUUAGGAACCAAUCCACAUAGAUUGGGCAUUUAUCAUUUUAACUGCAGCAUAUAGAAAUUACAUUUACAAUCUUGAAAUUAUUUUUAUCACUUGUGCAAUUGGUAUGAUUUUAGGUGUUUCAUUUCUCGGAACGUGCGAAAGGAGGAUUUGAUGACAUAGUGUAAUAAAAAUGCACAGACGUUUUAAAGCAGUGCCCUAUUAAGAAGACUGUGGGAUUCAAGUAUCUUUUUUAGUGUUCUGGGAAUUAUAUUUCCUUCCUUUUUGUUCUUUUUGAGUACAUGUUCAGGGCAGAUGAUGAUGACUUAAAGGCAUUGUUUGACAAUAUGUCACAGCCAGGUCAUUAUAUGUUUUGCAGAAUUAUUUUUUGGUGAUACUCUGAUUUUUAUGUUUCUUUAAGAUCAGUCUGGUUCUAGCGUUCAUUGUGACUUGCUAAUUGUAAUUAUGAGUCAGUAUUCUUCACUAAAGUCUCGAAGAGAUCAAUGCAAAUCCAAGCACCUUAAGAUCAAUAGACACUCGUCCGUCUAGUAGAGAAUUAUGGGUGUUGAAGUAUAAUAGCUGGAGGCCUGCCAUGUGACACCAUUACACUAGUCUUGAAGUUAUUUACAGAGACUCAAAUCACUACUUAAGUGGCCUAUGUAGUGGCCUUAGUGCCAAGAUACUGACAAAUGUAAGCAUUUCUGUUUAUGACAAAGAGUAGUUUGUCAGUCAGUGUGUUUCUGUUGUCUGUCAAUCAGAUAGCCACUAAAUGGACUUUCUAGUGAAGACUAUGACAACACUGUGACAACACUGAAUGCAGUUAAGUCUUCCCAUAGAGAAGCAUUUUAAUGAGGAGACCUAUUGAUUAAGCAUGACGAUUACUGCAGAUGCACAGUAAGUCCUCAAUUCUUCUCUAUGGAGAAGCACUUGAUUGGCUGAGAUUAUCCAACCAGAUGAUCUCAGAAGACAGAUAUGCACUUCCUGUGGUAAGACCAAGGUGCCACUGCAUGAGAGGUGAGCUUUAUUAUUUAACUUUUUAUGGGGGGAGGGGGAGAGGGGGUGGAGAAAGGAGACAACAAUCUAAUAUUCACUAGGAAAACUCUAGUAUUGUAAAUACAAAUACAUAUUUAUAACACUAGAGUUUUACUUUAAUGAAAAUAAUAAUUUUACUUCAAGCGUCAUAAGCUAGUGGGAGUUAUGGCUCUUAGAAUUAAUGGUGCAUACUCAUAACUUAGUGUCCUAAAUAAAUUACACGCUGGCUACUGAAUUCUUAUGCAUGGCUCUUCAUUUCUAGAACAUUUCUAAGCUUUCCUGUACACAGACUCGUAAAUUGUGAGGCUCUGUUGCUGGGUCACAGGCUACCAAACACAGUCCCUUUUAUUUUAUGGGCUGUUGAAAUCUUCACCUUUGACCACAUGAUAUUUUAGACUGCUUUUCUGUACCUCCAUGAUCAUCAGAAAAAGGGAUUGUACUCCUCUUCAAAUUUUGAAAAGGACUCAGAAAUAUUACUUUACUUUCCAGUUUGAUUAAACCAUUUAAAAUAACAGUCAUGUUGAAGGGUAAUGUAGUUAAGAUAUAAAACUUUUCGAGUUGAAAUACAGUUCUCUUGUUUCCCCUUGGUCCUGGGAGAACCAGUGGCUUGACAGUGGAUUGGCUUUGUAACAAAUAGCCAGGCUCCUCGGCGCCAUGUACUUUUUUUGGAUAGGAUGCAGCCACAGAGAGAUCAUUGCAAAUUAAAUCUGGACUGUGUGCCAAUGUAAGCAAGAAGAUAAACUUAGUGUAGUAGGGAGUCUCAGUAACGUCAAUGGGUGAUACAUGUUAAACAGCACAACUGAUUGACCAAAAGAGAACAUUCUGAAAUUAGAAUUUAGAUGUAAUAAGCUAAACUUCUAACCUAUAAUUUUUGUUGGAAAAAAAAAAUAUAUAUUAAUAUAAAUUUAUAUAUAUAUACAAAAUAAGAUAGCACUCUAAGGAUGUUGUAGUACAAAAUAAAACUUAGCUUUUAUUGCUCACAUUAAAAAUCUCAACGUUUCAGCUUGUCUGUCAAACUUUCAUCAGGAUUUUUUAUAUAUAAUACAAACUGAAGUGUCAGCGCUUAGUAGAUAUACCGAUAGAUAAAAAAAAAUUCUAGGUUAUCACAAAUGGACAAAUUCGAGUUCCAAUGAAUAGUUAUUUGAAGGGUGUCAGCAUAGACGAUAAAACGAUCGCGCUGUAUGGGAGAUCCAAUAUUGCUUGAACAGUAUCCACCUCCGUGUAACUUCAAGGUUAUAUUGUAUCCAUCUUAAAUUACAAUAAAUGGCAACAUAGUGUAAUACUUUUAGUUUAUUUAUAACAUCCCCAAUUCCCCUUCUAGGAACUCUUACAAGACACCCUUUAAAUAACUAUUCAUAGGAACUCGAAUUUGUCCAUUUGUGGUACCCUUGAAUAUACUUUUUAUCUAGGGGUAUAUUUACUAAGCACUGUUUGUAUUUUGUAUGUAAAAAUUGGAAAGGUUUCUUUUAUGCAUUUUAGCUGCUUACACCUGUAUAUAAUUCUUAUUGAUUACUUUUACGUAUUUCUAUUGCGCUCUCUUAGUGUUUUUCCUUUUGUAGGAUUAUAUAUAUUGUGAUCCUUGUCAGCAGGUAGCAUGGUCCUCUAGGGCAAAAAUAUGCACAGUCCUUGUAAUUCAUAUACUCCAGGCACUUUAUUUGUAAGUUCACACAGGAUACAGCAGUAAAAUGAAAACAUAAAUGUAACAGAAAACCCUAUAAACAAAAACCUAGCUCGUCUGAGCACUAACUGACAUAAGUUUCCCUAUCUCUCAGGGUUACACUAAACAAUAUUGCACCAACCUUUUAGAUAGCAACACUCUGCUAUCUAACCUGUUGCUUUCCUUUCUGCACUCCCAGUGCUCCAAGCCAGCUUUGCCCUGACUGCUUUCCUUUCUGCACUCCCAGUGCUCCAAGCCAGCCUUGCCCUGACUGCUUUCCUUUCCGCACUCCCAGUGCCUAGUCUCUUUGACUCUAUCUGGAGAGAUCAGCCUCUCUCCUACCUGCUUCCUGGGAGGAAGCCAGCAAUCCCUCUGCUUUACCUGUCUAGCAGGGAGGAGUUUAUUCCCACUGCAACAGCUUAUUAACUGCAGCUGAGCAGUGGGUUGGAGACGAUCCAAAAAACCCUGGCCUGGAUCCAUGUCUCCCCAGAAAACCACUAAACUGUGGAGUGGAGCAUUGGCCCACCCUUCUCUCCAAAUGCUCCACCCCAGGGGCCCAUAACUAAACAAUGCGUUGUGUUGUGCAAAACACAAACUACACAUACUCCCCCUGGGGUUAAAAGGCCUAUCUGCCUUCACUUUAUCACAUAUCCUCCCCCCCAGCUCAGACCCAUCGGGUCGAGCGACCUUAGAACACAAACCACGAAUGUUCACGUCACCUGGGGCUGUACCAGCCCUGACUUGCUCCUCAGUUACAGAAAGUGGCCUAUUGUAGAUGGCUGCUACCUUGCUCCCUUGUAGUUUAAGGAACCCCCACCCAAGCGGACAACCCAAAUAGUUAGCUGCCUCAAAUCCUAGAUAACACUUAGUGUUAGCGGUCAGACCGACAGCCCUUACAUUAUUCACAACUAACUGGACCUUCAUCAGGUGUGCUUCCAAGUCCACCCUGUGAAUCGCCACAUCACCAAGGUAGGCAGCGGCAUUCUCUCCGUGGGGCCAAAGUAUCUUAUUCAUAUGCUGAAAGGGGGCUGGUGCACUAUGCCACCUGAAUGGCAGUACUUUAUGUUGCCAUAACCCCUUGGGAGUAGAAAACGCUGUCCUUCCCUUUGCUGUCUCUGUCAGGGGAACCUGCCAAUACCUUAUGACCAGGUCCAAGGUACUCAGAAACCUGGCCUUACCUAUACGCUCUUGUGUUUGAGCUACAUGUACUACAGGGCAUUUAACUUUUACUACCUCUGUGGCAAACUCUACCUCUGCCAUGGGGUAUGUGUGGGUGUCACCAUGUGUACCCACAAUAUCAAACACUUGUCUUAAAUCACAUUUUUCUGGCUGGAGCAGAACACUUUUCAAAGUAACCUCACUCCUUGAAUCUAUCAAUGUUUGUGCACUCUUCUCUACCACCAUCACCACUUUUAGCUGUGCUGUAACACCACCACCAGUCACCAUACACAUCUUUAAGCAAGGCAAUACUAUCCUAUGCAGAGCCCUUAUUCCUAUGUCACAUUGUAUUGGCUCUUCAGUCUCAGGACAGUUAUAUGCAAUAUGUCCUUGCAUGUGGUAGUUGAAGCAUCGAGGUUUUUCUCAGUCUGGUCUCGUAGCCAUAAUGGGACUUUUGGGUACGUUCUGCCAGCAUAGUUAUAUUGUCCCAGGCUCAGUAUCAGGUUUGAUAGUCUCUCAAUGUCCGAGUUACUUUCAAAUGCAAACUUUACAAAGGCUUUGCGUGUAAUUAACUUUUCUAUAUCACUUAUACAUCCAAUUCCUUCAUGAGCUAAAUUUUCUGGGUGCUCAAACUCUUCAAGACCUGGUUCUGUCACCAGCUCAUCCAUCAUCAGUUCUGCGAAUUCCUGGGAGCCUUCAUUGCUCCCUACGGCUAAUGCUACAGGUCUCAUCUCUAUAUCCUCAGGGGGUUGGCCAAGGAGGCUGUCUAGAGCACCCUCCUCCUGCAUGAAUGCAGCCCUUGAUCCCAGCUCCAUCCUAUCAUGCUCGGCCUGGCUUGGCAUGGAGCGCUGUUCUACCUGAGGCCCAGACUCCUGGCUUAGUUCAUCUCUCCUUUGCCUGGUUUCCUCCCCAGGGGUAUCUUCCACUUGCUCGGCCUUGAGUGGCCACCUCUCAGUGUCAGAAAUGCUUUCCUCUGGGCUGUCUGGCAGUCUCCCUGUUCCCUUGGGGGUGUCCAGAGACGCAGUCAUGGCCUCUCGCUGGAUCAUGACAGCCCCGGUAUCAAACAGCCGGUCAGGCAGUCCGAGUCCCGCCUUUAAUUCCACGACUGUGUUCCCAGAGUCUGGCAGCUGUUCCAGGUAGUUAGUGCGCCCAGGCCUUGUAGCAGUAGUCUUUGCCAGUUCUAUGGCUCCCAAACAAUCCUUCAAAGUCUUUGUAGCAAUACCAGACGUGUUUGAAAUAUUUAAUUCAGCUGCGCCAAUGUCACCUGCUUUGUAACUUUCGCCUUGGUCGGGCUUAGGUGCGGACGUGCCCAUCUUAUCACCACAGCUUGGUUCUGUAACUGUCGCUCUCUCUUGGCUUAGAUCAGAAGCAGCUACUUUGCCUUUCUUUUCUCUGCCAAACUGUUCAACAGCUGGUCGACAUCUUGGGUAGCCUCGGCUACUAAACAGUGCACCGCAUUGCUAUACUCAGCUGGGGUGCUUUGCUUCUCUCCAUUAAGCUCAGCUCUUUUGCAGUUGUCUUCUCUGACUCCCCAAGUCAGUCUGCUUUUCAUGCCUUUAACUUGUUCACUUGGGUGUACAUCAGGGGCUCCUGCUUCGUUUUCUUUUAUAUGUGAUCCCCCUGGAAUUGCAUCUAUUCUCUUCUCUUCACCAGUCCUUCUGGGCGCUUCACUUAGAAAAUCUAGAACUCUUGUUUCCACUAUAAAAUCUGGGUUCCACAAUAACUGGUCAUCAUUUUCAUACACUCUUUCAGUUUCCUUGUACUUGCAGAUGCCAACUGGAAUCUCUGCCUGGAACAUGGAACCAACCAUUAUUUCAUUUUGCCAGUCUUCUGAAGGAACAUAAUCCUCAUCAUCCUCUGAUUCUUCUUCUAUUUCAUUAUUUGCAUCAAAAUACUUGCACCUCCGUGGCCUGAUUGCCUCUUGUACAUCCCGACAUGUAGCAGAUGGCACUGUGUCAUCGUUACAUGAUUGAGUCUCAUCUUUGUUUUCCACACUGCAGGCACUGUUCCGGUCAUUCUCCUUUUCUUCUUUCAUUACCUUGGGAAGAUUUAUCAGUACCUUUCUGUUUUCAAAUGUCUUUCCAGCAUUCUCUUGAAACAUGCAAGAUGCAGUUUCUGAGCGUGAAAAUAUUUUUGUUUCCAACUCUUUUCCCAGGAUCGCUUUAUCUGUUGUGAUGCCACUUAGAGCAAGUUUGAGGCUUUCACGUGAAGCUGCAACAUUUUGGUUCUCAAAUAAACACUUGUCAACUUCAGUAAUCAGUAUGCCUCGCGCUCCUUUCUUACUUUGGUGCAUGUCAUCAGUGUCACCUUCUUCCACAUUAGCACUACUUUCAGGCUCAAUUGUAUCUUUCUUGCCUUCUAUUUCUUGUUCUCUCUCUUCUGUGUGUUUCUCAACAUCAAGCUUUGCUGCCUCCAUGCUUUUCAGCUUGCUAAAGACUUCUUCUACUGCCUCUGUCAUCUUAUGCAGGAUGUCAGUAGCUUGGUUACGGGGUCCCUUGUCCCCACACACCCUGCUGGAGGCAAUCUGCAAAACAUCAGUAAGGGCAGCUCUAUACUCCUGCUGAGCGUCCCUCAGGUUCUUAAUCUGUGCAGCCAGGAAAUGGUUGGUGUUUUGUUGUAUAGCAGUUGCCUCUUGUUGUACAGCAGUUGCCUGUACCAGAGCCUUCAGCAGGUCCUCCAUUAUAGCACCAAGCAGGUAAUAGUCUUAAAGGUACAGUGCUACUAUUUUUUUUUUUUUUUUUUUUUUUUAAACAGGUCUGCAAAAAUAAAAAGUCCUCAAGCAGACUACUGAAUGACUGGCACACCCACAGACCCUCAAUUUGCUACUAUGCCCGCAUUCUCCACCAUAUUGUGAUCCUUGUCAGCAGGUAGCACGGUCCUCUAGGGCAAAAACAUGCACAGUCCUUGUAAUUCAUAUACUCCAGGCACUUUAUUUGUAAGUUCACACAGGAUACAGCAGUAAAAUGAAAACAUAAAUGUAACAGAAAACCCUAUAAACAAAAACCUAGCUCGUCUGAGCACUAACUGACAUAAGUUUCCCUAUCUCUCAGGGUUACACUAAACAAUAUUGCACCAACCUUUUAGAUAGCAACACUCUGCUAUCUAACCUGUUGCUUUCCUUUCUCUGCCCACUGUGCUCCAGUGCUCCAAGCCAGCUUUGCCCUGACUGCUUUCCUUUCUGCACUCCCAGUGCUCCAAGCCAGCCUUGCCCUGACUGCUUUCCUUUCCGCACUCCCAGUGCCUAGUCUCUUUGACUCUAUCUGGAGAGAUCAGCCUCUCUCCUACCUGCUUCCUGGGAGGAAGCCAGCAAUCCCUCUGCUUUACCUGUCUAGCAGGGAGGAGUUUAUUCCCACUGCAACAGCUUAUUAACUGCAGCUGAGCAGUGGGUUGGAGACGAUCCAAAAAACCCUGGCCUGGAUCCAUGUCUCCCCAGAAAACCACUAAACUGUGGAGUGGAGCAUUGGCCCACCAUUCUCUCCAAAUGCUCCACCCCAGGGGCCCAUAACUAAACAAUGCGUUGUGUUGUGCAAAACACAAACUACACAUACUCCCCCUGGGGUUAAAAGGCCUAUCUGCCUUCACUUUAUCACAAUAUAUAUAUAUUGCAUCUAAACUUUAUCCAAAACUAGGUACCCUGUACAGAAACAAAUCCGGCCUAAGCCCUACAGUAAAGAUUGUACAGCAAAUGCUGAUGCCAAUCAUUGAUUAUGGGGAUGUAGUAUAUGCAUCUGCAUCGCAAUCCCACAUUAAUAAACUCAACACAUUGUAUAACUCGUUCUGCCGAUUUGUGCUACAAUGUAAUUACAGGACCCACCGUUGUGACAUGCUAAAACAACUAAACUGGCUGUCGCUGGAAUCCAGACGCACCCUUCCUCUUUCCAGCCUUGUGUUUAAGAGAUUUUCUGGGAAACUCCCGCCCUACCGGCUGUUCCUACCUCCUAUACACUCCAUUCCAGUACCAACACUUUAUUUAGUCUACCUCAAUACAAAAAGAAAGCAGCCCGAUCCUCCUUCUCCUACAGAGCACCGCAAUUGUGGAACGACCUCCAGCACAAUUUAAAAUCUUCCCCAAGCCUAAAGUCCUUUAAGAGAUCCCUCUCUACAUACCUCAAAACAGAAUGCGCCUGUCAUGGUUGAUUAUAUAUAUCCUACCUGUUCUAAGUUAAAUUUUGUAUAUAUUGUGUAUUAAUAUUGUUUUUGUAUUUUAUUAUACCCUAAUGUAACAAUGCAAUGUUUUGUAGACCCAGGACAUACUUUAAAAUGAAAGAAAUCUCAAUGUAUCUUUCCUGGUAACAUAUUUUAUAAAUAAAUAAAUAAUAUAUUUCAUAACAAUUCAUGUUAACUUUAAAACCCUUUAAAUAUUUAUAAACUUUUAACUUAAGUAAAAUAGUGAUAAUGUAACUAUCCAACUUAAGUAAAAUAGUGAUAGGGAUUUAAUAAGAGUACUUUAUGAUACUGUAUAAGUCAUUUACAGCACCAAUACCCCUUUUUUUGACAGGUUCUAUUCAAUGUUUAAAUAGGUUUAAAUAGUGUCCUACAAUUAGCCACGUGUCAGGGAGGGAUGCAAAACCAGGCGUUUUUGGCAAGUGCUCUCAUAUUAUACAUACAACAGAAAGGUUGCAUUGACCAGCAAAAAAUAUGCUGGUGGUAAACUCUAAAUACAACAUGGGAUAUUCAUUUUCAAAGAAUGGUCAAAAUGGUCAAAAAUAGGAUACAUUGGUGUUGUGGCAGGCUUAUGCAAUGUAUGAUCAUAUACUGUAACUCUGUGGUCAUAGGUGCCUCCUCCUCCUCAUGACCCAAUUCCAGUUGUGAUACCAGUUUUGCCUUGACUCAAAUGUUGUGUAACUAGAUGUUUUGUUGUUAUUUUAGAUGGUGGUCUUUUACUCAUUCAUAAUUCCCACCUAUGUUUCAUGUAGCACCUCUCAUUGUUAUUAUUAUUUAUAUAGCGCCAACAAAUUCUGCAAAAAGUAGGUUACAAGAAUAGUAUCCACUGAGGGAUUAGUGGUACUUUUUUUUUAGAUGACAGAUGCUGGAAAGGAAUCAAGGUGCAGAGAGGGAAACUAUUAACAGUUUUAUUGAUAUGCAUUUCGUAAGACAUGAGUUUACAUUGUAUUUUUUGAAGGAAUGGAGAUUGGGUGAAAGUCUAAUGGAGAAGGGAAGGGAGUUCCACAGGAACGGUGCAGCCCUAGCGAAGUCUUGGAGGUGAGCAUCAGAGGUUGAAGUACGAACAGAGGAUAGAUGUAGUUCUUCUGCAGAGCGUAGGUGCCUAGGUGGGACAUACUUGUGUAUUAGGGAGGAUAAGUAGGUUGGAGCAGCAUUAUGUAGAGAUUUGUGGGAAAGUAUCAGAAUUUUAAAUUGAGCCCUAUAUGAAAAACCAGUGAAGGGACUGACAGAGGAUUGAGGCGUGGGAGAAGGAUGAGCCUCGCUGCAUUCAUUAUAGACUGUUAACAGGGUAAGUUGGCAAUUCAAAAGGUAUUGAAGGGGCAAUUCCUAAAGGAGUGGGUUUAAAUAGGUGGACAGUGUGAACUUCAAAGGAUGGAAAUGAAAAGGCAGGGAAGAUUGGUUGAAAUGUAUAUUGAAGUCUGCAAGUGUGGGAGAAUUGUAGCCCACUGAAACAUAAUUAAGCAGGAGUAGUGCUAUCAGAGGGGGUCAACCAGGUCUCAGUGAAUGCUAAUAGUAUAAAAGAAUUUGAGAUGAUGUGGUCAUGUAUGGUUGUCGAUUUCAGAUUACUGCAGAUGGAGAGCGUGUUCAAAAAUGUACAUUGAAUGUUGGCAGAUGAGGAUAAAUGGCAGGGUAUUGGGAUGAGGUUUGUUUAGUUUCUGGUUGCCUUAACAUGAACAGAGGAGGUGGGGCCCUGAUUUUCGAAAGACAUCACCAACUGCUAGAAGCAGGAAGAGAGAUAGUGACAGGAGGUGUGAAUGGGUUUUGUAUGGUUCUAGUCUAGGAUGACAUUGUUUGUAAGUAGGAGAGAGAGAGUAAAGAAAAGAGUGCAUGGCAUGAGAUGAGAGAAAGGGAGUGUAACAGGGAGGGGGAAAUGUGGAGGUUGUUGGUGGGUUGAGGGAAGUGUGUGUGAGGAGAGAUUUUGAUACUGAGGGAGAAGAGGGAAAAGAAGAGGAGGAGAAGAAAGAGCAUUGCUCAGAUGAGUGUGCACUUUCAGAAAAAACUUGGAGAUGGGGAGUAGGUCAGGAGAGGCAAUUGAGCAGAUGAUGUGGCGUAGAAAGCAUGGGAAAGUAUGCUGGAAUGGAUUGGGCGUUAGGGGUUAAGAAAGUGUUGGUGUGUGCUAAUUAAAGGUAGUGUUUGCAACUGCCAUUUCUGAUUAUGUAAAUUUGUGUGAGAUUCUAUCUCUAAAUGGAAUGAUGAGCUUGCGGUGUGUGUGUAACUGAGUACCUUACAGUUGUGAAGUUGGAUACUUCCUCUGCCUCGCAGAAACCAUUUUCUUUUUUCAUCACAGACCCAUUACAAUGUUCCAAUUCAAAAUUUAGAAAAAACUAAUUAUCUGUACAGCCUCGCUGUACACCACAAUAUAUCUCCCACAAAUACUCUGCUAUCCCACCUGCAAAGAUGUGGGAUUCCCCUCACCAACCCAUAGAUAGAUUUGCAUGGCAGGGGACAAAUUUUGCCCCCAUAGCAUUUCCACACCUCUGCAGGUAAAAGGCUGAGUCAAAGGAGAAAUAGUUGUUGGUCAAUAAAUACUCUGUAGCUUUCAAAAUAAAGCCAAUCAGUUGUUCCCUGUAGUCACUAUUUCUUUUAGAGGAUUUUUUAAAGGAACACUAAUUGGUCAGGAACAUAAACAUGUAUUCCUGGCCCUACAGUGUUAAAACCACCAUCUAGACCCCCACUUGCCUCCCUAAAUAUAGUAAAAUCUUACUUUUAUUUAAGUCUGCAGCUGCUGGCUCUGCCCCGGUCUGCCUCCUGUCUACUGAUCAUCAGAAGUGGUGGUCUGAGCCAAUCAUAGAUUAGGGACAGAGCCAACACAAGUCAAACACAGUCCAAUCAGCAUCUCCUGAUAGAGAUGAAUUGAAUCAAUGCAUUUCUAUGAGCAAAGUUCAGUGUCUGUAUGCAGAGGGUGGAGACACUGAAUGGCGGUGCUGCUCACUGUGCAGCCCUGCCCUAGAAAGCACCUCUAGCAGCCAUCUGAGGAGUGACCAUUGGCGUUAUCACUAAGCUGUAAUGUAAACACUACAUUUUCUCUGAAAAGACAGUGUUUACUAUAGAAAGCAUGAAGGGAAUGAUUAUACUCACCAGGACAAAUACAAUCAUCUCUAGUUGUUCUGGUGACUAUAGUGUCCACAUCCAAUGGCAACCAUUUAAAGAUAUCCACCCUAAGAAAAUGAUUAAACCUAGAUAUGACAUAUCCUAAGUACCUAAGAUAGGACCUCGAUAUCUUGACUAGUGGUUGUAAAAAAAACAUUAAAGGACCACUAUAGGCACCCAGACCACUUCAGCUCAAUGAAGUGGUCUGGGUGCCAGGUCCAUCUAGCAUUAACCCUGCCUGUUGUAAACAUAGCAGUUUCAGAGAAACUGCUAUGUUUACAUUAGGGUUAAUCCAGCCUCUAGUGGCUGUGUCACUGACAGCCGCUAGAGGCGCUUCCGUGCUUCUAACUGUGAUUUUCACAGUGAGAAGACGCCAGCGUCCAUAGGAAAGCAUUAAGAAUGCUUUCCUAUGGACUGACUGAAUACACGCGCGGUUCUUGCCGCGCAUGCGCAUUCAGCCGAUGUCGUCCGAAGGAGGAGGAGAGUCCCCAGCGCUGAGGGAGCCUGGCACUGGAGAAAGGUAAGAUUUUUAACCCCUUUCACUCCUUAGAGCCCGGCGGGAAGGUGGACAUGAGGGUGGGGACCUAUUAAUAUUAUAGUGCCAGGAAAACAAGUUUGUUUUCCUGGCACUAUAGUGGUCAUUUGACCUCUUAAGGACCAAACUUCUGCAAUAAAAGGGAAUCAUGACAUGUCACACAUGUCAUGUGUCCUUAAAGGGUUAAGCAAUUCUGACAGAUGUUCCCUUCUCAUCCAGAGCACCUGCGUUGCAAAUAUUUCUCAAGGAUCUGUGAUACAGCAGAUCAUUGAUAAGUCUGUGAUUGGACAGCCACAGAAAGUCUGUGCUGGGGAAGACGGGAUGGGCUUGCAGUUAGCUGCACAUACUAGAUCUACAGCUAUUGCAAGCUAAGAUUUCAUAUAGCCUCAAAAAAAAAAGAAGCAGCUGUAUGCAGUGCUCAAAAUAAGUUCUAAAUACAACCCUUUAAAGUCAUUUUAAUCACUGCGGUUUCUUUUAUCCUUUCCUGUUAGCACAUGCUACUGCUCUCUGUAGUGGUUAUGGUACUUAGAGUGUGCCUUUAAGCAUGAUAGUUGUGCACAUGUAAUACCUUUUAGUGUCUUUGGCAUGGCUCAACAUAUGUUUCAGUGGUUCAAAUUUCAAUGUUAUGAAUAAGGUAGCUCUGAACCUCAUAUGUCUAUGGUCCAAAACAUGUAAGGAAUAUUUCUCUUUGGAUUUUGCUUUCCCCUAUUUGUUUAUGUACCUUGGAGAAUAAACCUUUCCUUUUGGAUUUGGAGCCCUUGCUUUUUCUGGCAUAAUUUAUUUAGUUUUUUUCUUUGCAGAAGUUCUGAACCUGUCAGCCACCUGGCAUUUUUUCCACACCUGUCCUUAUGUUCUGGCAUCUCCAUCUUAAUUCUUGAUCCUGGGGUUCUCCAAAUGUCGGUCUUGCCCUGCCCGAUUGUUUAAGCAAUUGUGUGCAGUUAUCUUGUCAACAACCUUUUGGGG
rnacentral:lncRNA from 1 species